rnacentral:lncRNA from 1 species
ACAAAUAAUCUUCAAGUAGAACUUUUUGAUGUUUGGGGCCUUGAUUUCAUGGGGCCAUUCCCUAUGUCCGGGAAUUGCGAGUAUAUCUUAGUAGCUGUGGACUACGUGUCCAAAUGGGUAGAAGCCCUACCUUGUCGAUCAGCUGAUUCAAAACAUGCCAAGAGAAUGUUCCAUGAAGUAAUCUUUCCUCGCUUUGGUAUACCCCGGAUAGUUAUAAGCGAUGGAGGUUCCCACUUCAUCGACAAAAUCUUCCAGAAGUACCUAGCCGAUCAUGGAGUUCGACACAACGUCGCAACACCAUACCAUCCUCAGACUAGCGGUCAAGCCGAAACAUCUAACAAACAAAUCAAAAAUAUUUUACAAAAGACCGUAGAUGAGAUGGGUAAGGGGUGGAAGGACAAACUUCCUGAUGCACUUUGGGUAUAUAGAGCUGCAUUCAAAACACCCAUAGGCAUGUCACCUUAUCAACUUGUAUAUGGAAAAACUUGUCAUUUGCCUGUGGAAGUAGAGUUUAAGGCUCAUUGGGCACUCAAGAAAUGGAACAUGGAUCUCCACCUCGCUAGCGAGAAUCGUCUAAUGCAACUAUCUGAGCUAGAAGAAUGGAGAGAGAAAGCCUACCACAAUUCAAGGAUCUAUAAAGAGAGAACAAAACGAUGGCAUGAUAAGAGAAUCAAGCACAAGGAGUUUAAGCCUGGAGAUAAGGUUCUACUAUUCAAUUCAAGAGUUAAGCUCUUUGGGCAUGGUAAGCUACGAAGUAAGUGGGAUGGACCAUACAAGGUUAUUGACACUUCAACUCAUGGAGCCAUUACCACCCAAGACGACAUAGGUAACACUUUUAAGGUAAAUGGUCAACGCUUGAAAAUCUAUCUUGAGCCACAAAACAACCUGGUAGAGGAACUUGAUGUGAUUGAGUUCAUAGAAUUCUCACAUUAAGCUCUCAUAAGCUCUAGACAAUUACCUAACCCUUAACAUGUUCCACAAGUUUUGUUGUCUAUUUGGGUUGUGCAGGAUUUUGAGGCUUAAGAAGAGUGAGACCAAACAUGCAAGACACAAGAGUGAACGACUAUGUCAACAUCCAGCUUGGGGGAGGCACCCCCACGUGUAUCUUGAUAAGUAUUACUUUUCUUUCUUGGUUUUAUUUACUAGUAUUCGGAAAUAAAAAAAUGCAUAACCAUGAAACCAAACAAAGUUUUUCUUUUGAGUAAUAUACAAUAGUUUUGUGUAAUCCUAAGUUUUAAAUAAAAAUAAAAAAAGUUUGAUUCAAGUCUAGGUAAUUGACAAACAUGAUAUGAGAAGGUCUGAGCUACUAUUUAACUUGUUCCAAGUUUUGCUAGAGUUCUGGAGAUUUUUUGAAAAUCUAAAAAUUCAUAAAAAAAUAUAUAUAUAUAUAUGAGAUCAUAAUACCUAGAGUCUUAUAAGAUAUAAAUAUUAAAACUGUGGACACUUGCUUUGUUCAAGCCAUUGUUAAUUCUUGUAGUUUUGGUUGAGAGAAUUAUCAUGCUCCCAAGAUCAAGAUCUUUUUGUUUUAAAAAUAUAAAAGAUUCACUCUUCCGAAGUAUUAUUGCGUUAGAGGCAUGGGACUAUGCAAAAAUUUUCGAAAAAAAAAGAGUGAGACGAGAGGUAAAAAUGGACAAGUGUCCGAAGUAGAAUUAGGGGUACAAAGAUACCCACCUGAGUGAAAAAAAAGGACAUGUGUCCGACAGUAGAAUUAGGGGUACUUGCAGCCCACUUGAAAAAAAAAGAGAAACUGAAAAAAAAAAGAAAAAAAAGAAAAAAAUGAUAGCCCAUGGUCCCUCUAAUAAGCAAUAUGCCAUAAGAGAUGACAAACUUCUCAAAAAGGUCAAAAGUCUUGAUGCAGGAGUAUGACAUUCCUCUCCCAUACUCCGAGCGUUGACAUAGCAAAAUGCAAAGUAAGUAUGCUAAAACUUUCAGAGCUCUACCUAUAUAUCUUUCGAGAAGAAGGCAAUACCUCAGUUUCAUUUUGCAGACUUAUAAAAAAAACUCCAGAACAAAGGUAAGACAGAAGAACUUGAGACAUAGUGCUUGACUUGAUCAUUCUGUUUUUCAAUCACUUAAGACCUUAGUGAUAACUUAAAAACCUUGUAGUAAGAGGCAUAAAAGUAACCCCUGUUUUCUUGUUGAUUUUAGCUUUGCUCAGGGACGAGCAAAGGUUAAGCUUGGGGGAGCUUGUUGACGGUCCUUAAUGCUCACAUUUAACCAUCAACUAAUCAUGGAAAAGGAUCCAAAUACAACCAACACCUAGACUUAGGGUUUUAUCUGAUAGAAUUCCACGAGUUUUGGUGUUUGUCUAUUUCUGCAGGGGGUUAUCCGGAAAUAUGGAGGAAAGGCCCACACGUCGGGUUUACAUAGAGGUAUUAACGUGUCGCGCAAUUUUCUACCAUCUAGAAGACUCCAGAAGCCACGGGAACGAACGGGAGGCCGAGCGGGCCCGGAAGCAGGGCGCCCGCCCUACCCCCCUGGGCGCCCGCCCUCCUCUGCUGGCCAAUCAGCACGAGUCUCGGGGAUUAUGCUCCACCGACUCUAAGGAUCGAGGAAAAUCACACGAUUAAGGUCGGUUUGAUCAGAUGGCGGAGAAUAACGUGGAAAUUCCUUGGGAGCUACUCUUCCUAUAUUUCUUGGGAGCUACUCUUCCUAGAUUUCUUGGGAGCUACUCUUCCUGGACUAUAUAAGCAGACCCCCACCAGCCCCUGGAGGCAUACCUCUUCUACAGAAUCAAAGCUAGGGAUUCAAUUCUUCAUCCAAGUAGAGAGGAUCCCUCUAGUUCUUCUAGUUCUAGUUCCUCUAGUUCUAGUUCUAGUUAGUUCUUGUUGUAAUCUAGAAAAUAGGGAGAGAGAAGAGGAGAGCGGAGGAGGAGGAGCCGGAUCUGUCGGAUCUUCCUCAACAUUGUACUUUUGCAGGAACUGGUUCAUUCUUCAUCGUUCUCCAGGUUCUUCAAUUCAUAAUCCUGAGUUCUUUAAUUACUUUUAUUUACAUUCAAGUUAUUUAUUGGAUUCCCGCUUGCAUCAAGUGCUCUAAUCUUUGCAACAUUAGAUUAGUAAUUAAUAGAUUAGACGUGGUGUUUAGUCUUGCAAUUACCUGGAAUUGCACCCAAUCCUGCGGAUUGUUGUGGUAGCCUUAGGGUAGUGACAGCCCUAACGGUCGACGUAUUCCACCUCGUUCGGAUCGGUGUUUGUAGGACCGUAGUCAGAGCUUCCUAGCCCCCUUCUCAUCUCUUUCUGUGGUUAGUGUUCUGAUGUCCCGAAAUAAAUAAUCUUUGAAGUAAUUCUUGAUUCUUAGAUCAACUAGAGAACUCUCAGGAAACUUCCUCUCUUCCCACCAAAAAUAAUUAUAUAGUUAUCCUUGGGCGAUCUAGAUUCUUAAUUAGUACACUCACGUUUCCUGUCGAAAAUCGAUACUCUAGAAUACUCCCGGGUGAAGGCUACAUCGGUAUCCGUGCGCUUGCGGAUUUUUCUGUUUGCGUUUAAAAUACCCAACAGCAAGCUUUCAAAUCCAAACUCUUAGCACAUAUGUAGGGGGAGCAAUUGCUACCAUUUUGGGUUUAUGAAACUUGUCCAUAACCUUUGCACAUGGUAAAAUGCUUGGGCAAGCAACAUGAAUCCAAGAAAAUUUUAUUGAAAAUCUUUGUAAAAAGGGUUGUCAUCAAUUACCAAAAAGGGGGAGAUUGAAAGCCCUAGUUUGGUUUUGGAUAAUUGAUGAAACCCUAGUACUAACCUCUAUGCUAAGUGUGUGUAGACUUAAUGAGGUUGGUACAUGCCAAGUGAUGGAGCAAGUGAUGAUCAUGGUGUUGAUGGUGAUAACCACAAGAUGAUCAAGUGCUCAACUUGGAAAAGAACAAAGAGAAAAACAAAACCCUAUGGAGUUCAAGGCAAAGGUAUUGCUUAGGGUUUUGGUUUUGGUGAUCAAGACACCAUAGAGGGUGUGAUCACAUUUAGGAUAGAUAGCGAGCUAACUUAACUCCUUCACGUGCAUGCAUUUAGACAUUGUGCAUGCAUUUAGAACCUAGUGAGCUAACUUAACUCCUUCAAAGAAAAUGAUUGUGAAAAUACUAACACACGUGCACAUGUUGGUUUACACAUUGUGGUGUUAGCACACUUUGAGAAGGAAGUGGAGUUUGAUUCGGCGCUUUUCGAGAAAAUGAAGUGCAUUUUUUCUAUUGCGCCGGUGGGAAAUUUGGAGAAGUCGCGGGAGUGUUUCUUGCUGAGAAAACACUCACCGGACGCUGGCUUCUGGAGCACCGGACGCUGCGUCUGAGCGUCCGGUGCAGACAGUGCCUGGCCCAGCUAGGGUAAGGCACCGAACGAUAGGCACCGGACGCUGGCUUGAGCGUCCGGUGGUUAGCGUCCGGUGUGCGGGCGUUUUGCGACCCUCUCUGCACAUGGGUCCGGUGAGCACCGGAACCUGAGGGUGCGUUCGGUGGCUUGCGUCCGGUGACCCUGCGAGUUUGCGGAGCUCUCUGCGCAUGAGUCCGGUGUGCACCGGACGCGUCCGGUGCCAACCUGCUCAGCGUCCGGUGCUCUGCAGGUUACCGUUAGACUCUGACACGCGGCUGACGUUGGAGCACCGGACGCUGGUGUUGAGCGUCCGGUGCCCCUUUAAGAGCGUCCGGUGACCCCGUGUUUCACCCAGUGAAAGAGCCAACGGCUCUAUUUGUUUGAGGGGCUAUAAAUACGUGUUUGGUCGGCUUGGGGCUCACACUCUUGGCAUUCUAACAUACUUGACAUCCUUGUGAGCCUAAGCAAACACCUCUCACUCAUCUCCUUCAUAGAUUAAACAUCUUUGUGAGAUUGGGAGUGAUUCCAAGUGCAUUUGCUUGAGUGAUUGCAUCUAGUGGCACUUGGGGAUCGAUUGGGCUGCGGUUUUCUUGUUACUCUUGGUGGUUGCCGCCACCUAGACGGCUUGGAGCAGCGGAGGAGUAUUGGCACGAGUUGGUGAUUGUUCGUGGCCAUCUCGCGGUGAUUGUGAGAGGUUUGUGCCUACCUCGUCGGAGAGCCAAAGGCGACAUUAGUGGAUUGCUCGUGUCAUUGAGUUACCUCACUUGUGGGUGGGUUCUUGUGGUGUCCUAGUGAGGACGAGGUUCGUGCUACACCUCUUAGCCACCGAACCACCAAGUGUUGGUCGACACAACGGGGACGUAGCGUGCCGGCAAGCACGUGAACCUCGAGAGAAAAAUCUUGUGUCUCCAUUGUGUUUGUUUAUUGGAUUUCUCCCGGUGAUUGAACUUCAUAAUAUUGUGAUUGGUUCAUCCCCUCUACGUGGUGGUAUAAAGAUCAAGCUCUCUCUCUUACUUUCUUGCAAACUAGAGUAUCUUACUUCUUGUAUAGAAACUUUAGGUAGCUCUCUAGUAUAAGUAGAGACUUAGUUCUUGUGUGCAUAGUGAUCAUAGCAACUAGAAUUGUUGGGUAGGUGGCUUGCAAACACCCAAUUAGAGCUAGAGCAAAAAGCUUCGCUUUGUUAUUUACUAACCUCUUGCUCUAGUGAAUUUGUAGAACUUUUUAAAUAGGCUAUUCACCCCCCUCUAGCCAUAUUAGGACCUUUCACCGGGAUUAUAUGGGCUCAAGUUGGGAAACUUGAUUGCUUGUCAAUCAUUUCUACACUUGAACUCUUAUAAUUUGGUCGGUUCUGUGACAAGCUCACCGGAGUGAGUCGGAGCUCCGGCGACCUCUCGGCUCGCGCGGUUCUCCCUCUCCUCUCCGCCCUUGCUUGCAUUCGUAGGUGCGUUAGCUUCGCCUUGGCUUUGUGCAACUUUCCCCGUCGUUAGCCCACGCUCUACCGCCACGAAACGGCCGGACCACGACGAGCAGCGCCGCCGCGUCUGCCAUUCUCGACGGCGUGGUAGUUCUGGUGCUCGUCAGGUGCCAAAAAGGGCACGGUUGGACUCGUCCUGUGUUCGCGAAGCCGUAGGUGUUCCCGGUGUCGCCGGAAACCUCACCGGCGGUGAGAUUCCGGCCGAUCUUUGGCCGCGGAGUCGUGGGGUGGCUGACAAGUGGGGUCACCUGACUCACAGGUCCCGCAUGUCACUGAGUCCACGGGUUUGAAUCCGGGUGCACUUAGCGUUUUAAGUUGUUUUUCCGUUUUAAAGGUUUUUCAAGAAAAUGGUUUAAAUAUUCUAAAUUCCAUAUCUUGAGAUCCAUAGCUCCAAUAUUCGUGAAAUAAAUUUUGGUGUGUUCUCUGUUUCCAGAUCUAUAGCAUGGAAUGGUUGUAUGUCAUGUUUAAGUAACUUUUCUGUGCAAUUAUAUUUAAUCCAUGUUUUUGCUAGAUUUGGAAAAUGUAUAGUAAUUAAAAUAUGACUCAGAAAAAUGUGCAACUUGUUUUGUUGGCUCUGCAUGUAUGUUUGGUCGCUGGGAAAAUGUUGCUACACAUUAUUUGGUGUAUAAAUGAAUUUAUAGUGAAUUAAAUGCUUGCAUGGUAGUGGUUUAUGAUUUUUAAUAAAAAUUUGGAUCAUGCAAUUAAUCUGGUAAUUUUUGUGGGUGUUUCUUAUGAUAUUAGACAAAUUAUAAAAAUAUGAAAUCUGCUGUUUGACACUUAUACCACAGUAGAGUUAUUGUACUUGCCUUUAUUAAAUAAUCUUGUGAUUUUUGUAGCUCCAAAUAAGUAUCCAAAAAUUAUGAAAAAUUUAUAGUAGACUUUAUGCUUGACUGAUAGUCUCCUGUAAUUUUUGUAGAAAUUAUUGAUGAACAGAACUGCAUGCAAAUUUUGAGGGGUCUAAAAAUGAAUAAAGAAACUAUGAAUUGUUAUAUAUGGGUUAAAUAGAAUAAAAGAGGAUUUGGUGUAUCUUUGAAGUAUCUUGUGAGUUGCUGGUUACACUUGAAAAUAAUUCUGUAGGAAAGAAGGAAAUGGAUGCUUAGUGUAAUUACAUGUUCUUGGAUGAUGUUGACUACCUUGUAAAUGAUCACAUAAAUCAUCCAUACAUCAUGUCAUAGUCAUCUCGUAUUCUAUCGCAUGAGCAUUGCACCCCGGGCAUCUCGCAAUCCACUCAUGAGCACACAUGCAUCAUACAGGCUCGCAGGAGAACGAGGUGGUACCCGAGGAGCUCGAGGAGACCCAGGAGCAGGAACCUAUGGAAGCACCGGAACCCGAAGAAGAGCUACAGGAGUGUCCGGAUCACCGACCCAGCACGUUUGAGAAAGGCAAGCCCCGGAGCAUUCUAAGUCUCCCUAUUCUCGCUAAGUUACACAAUAUAUUAUACUUGUUUUACUAUACUGCAUUUAAGUGAUAGGAAUUGCUUGAUACCGUUGAUGCAUAUGCACUCCUUGAUAUCACCACUCGUUUAUCUACCUUGUCCUAUUUAGAUAGGUACGGAGUCUAUGCCUAGCUUGCUUAGUCCGGUAGAAGUCUGGUGAUUUCACCAGCUUGAUAUCACCAGCUUGAUUAAGCAGUGAUUGCUUCGGAAAAAGAAUAACCAAGUGUGGAAUGGAAUUGGAGACCGGGCAGGGUCUUAUGGUGGGUUGACCAUAGUGCCCCUGCUUGUGUCGAUUAAGGACCGAUCGUUGACGGCCCUCUUGUCAUGUUGAACGCAUGCCCCACACUUAGCUAGAAGGAUAAGUCGUUCCGACCGCGAAGCCUGAACACUAUCCGGGCCUGGAAUCGAGCCGCCAUGCGCUGUAUUGGUGAUGGUUGAGGAGAACGACGAGGGCGCGGCGCGCAACCUUGGUAUACCUUGGAUACCUCGGUCGCCGGAACGGUCCUCGGGUACUGGCGGUGCCUGCCGAACCCGCGAAUUGGUCCUGGAUAGUGUAAUACGGUGAUCUGUAGCUUACUUGAUCAGAGAGUGUGGUUUGUGUGGGGAAUACCUCGCCAGUUGGUUAGAAAUCGAUUCGAAUCGCCAUCGCUCCUGGAUAGUGAGCACUUGACAUGAGCUUCGUCCUCGUAGUAAGGACUAUGGAACACUUGGGUUAUAAUGAUAAAUGGUUUUAUGAAUGCUAUGAUGGGGUACCAUCAUAUCACUAUACUUGCUUGUAACAGUGCAGGUGCAAACCUAGAUAAUAGGUAUUGAUACUGUCAACUUGAGCAAAUUAAAAGAAGAAAGAUUUAUGUAGGGUAUGUUAAUAGAAUCUUGCGGUUAUGCAAAAAGGUUGUCAGCUACCCCCACUAUAUAGCCUUCAUGAUCCUUGAAGUGUCUUUAUUUUAAUUUAUGACGGGUAAGUCUAGCUGAGUACAUUCUCGUACUCAGGGUUCUACUCCCAUGUUGUUUUGCAGAUGGUCAAAUGUACUAUGGUUAUUGCAUCCUCUGUCUGUACCCAGCCAUGGGUGAUGACUAGACCAAGGGCGAUGGUCACUCCGUCUUCUCUUUUGCUUUUGUGGGAAUGACCGAAUUAUGGCACUGUAUCAGAUUAUGAAGCUUCCGCUACUUAUGAAUUUGGUUUGUAAUAACUUUAAGCAUUCUGAUGUAUUGUAUCAAUGUUUUCGAACUGGAUGUAAUUGUGGAUGGUGACCGCAAAACUUAUUACGAUCUUGGUUGUAUGUACGAUCUGUGGUUUGAAAUCCUUCGAGAUUUCACGGACUACCGAGAUUAUAUGGGCUUAAGCUCGAUGGUUUGACUAUACCAAUGGUCACUAUUAGGCUUAAUCUCUUAUAAUUUGGGCGGUUCUGUUACAGUUGCUUACACUCACAAUCUAACUUAGCACUAAUAAAAGUAGGCCUUGGCCUAUCACAAUUACCUAUAUUUAUUUCUACUAAAUCAUCGGCCGAUGUAAACCCUUGGCCUAAUUUUCCAUCAUCGGCGAACCUAUCCAUUAAAACUCCUCGUCAGAACCGACUGCUUGGAUCGGUGGAAUUUCAUAAUCGGUGACUUUGAGAAAAUCCUUCUCCCAAAUCUCUCCUAAAAUGCAUCUGGUCAUUUCAUAAGUAUCUGCUUCUCCCGAUGCAAUGACAUACGAAGAAUCCCAUGGGACAAUUUGAAUCUUGUCACCUACCCAGUGAAUCAAGCACUGGUGCAUUGUAGAUGGGAUGCAACAAUUGGCAUGAAUCCAAUCUCUCCACAACAACAAAUUAUAAGCACCCUUUCCACUGAUAACAAAGAAAGUUGUCGGCAAGGUUUUGCUGCCGAUGGUCAACUCAACACAUAUGGCUCCUUUGACUGGAGACACAUUUCCUUCAAAAUACUUUAACAUCAUAUCGGUCUUGGUCAAGUCUUGAUCUCCUUUGCCAAGCUUCCGAUAGACUGGACACAGCAUGAUAUUGAUUGCAGCCCCGCCAUCAACAAGUAUCUUAGUCAUCGGCUGUCCAUCAACCCUGCCUUUGACGAACAAAACUUUAAGAUGUUGUCUCUCAUUAUCGGUGGGCUUUUCAAAGAUAGCCGACAUCGGAUCCAGGUCCAACUGAGCUAUCUGGUCAGGAAAAUCUACCUCCUCAUCAUCACUGAAGGACGCAAGGAAUUCCAACAACAACAUAAACACCAUAUUAAUGUUUGCCGAUGGACAUUUUCCCUUAGGAUCUGACUGCUGCCGAUCUCCAGACUUAGCAGAAUUCUCUCCUCGACUCAGUUCUUCUUGUCGCUCCCGCUGUAGCCUUCUUUUCUAUGUCCUAGCAACCCCUCUGGACACCAUGGAGGAAGUUGUGCUUCCCUUGCUGAUUGAUGACGACUUUUCCUUGAUUCUACCCGAUAAGUAUUAGCAUCUCUACAAAAUAUGAACUCAUUGAGAACCCGUGCAUCCGCCAUCUCCUCAAGCUCCUCUUAGUUUCGUGGAAAAUAGCCAACAUGCUCACCAAGCCUAUCGUUAUUGCCAAAAUACUGACAGUAGUUCCAAAAGACCAACAGCCUCGCGUUCCCACUUCAGAAGCCAUUUCAUGGAGGCCUUUUCACAUUCUUAGUCUUUUCAUUUCUAUCUCGAGUUUACACCUAUCUAGCAAGGCUAUUGCUAGUAUAAAUAUCCCCUAAGACUCAUUGCAAACUAAGAUUUUGAUAAUUAGAAUACAGACCACUUUGUUUAGCUAUGUGCUAACAAAACCAGAGAGAGAUUCUCUACCCCUUUGCUCUUGUGUUUUCCAUUGUGGAGAUUACAGAAGCGGCCGCGUCAUCAACACCUAAUCCGUGCACCUGAUCUUCGUGUUCAAGUUGCGUAGGUUGGUUCUUUGAGAGUGUGACUGGGCGAAUCCUUGGUUUAGGCUUCUGUAGAGAGACGAUGGUUGGCUCCUUGUGCAUGUCGUCAGGUUGCACUAGUUAUCGCUGCUUGUAGCAAGUUAUCCACCGUUCAUCAGUAAGUUAUCAAGAUCAAGAUCAUACGUCAUGAAGAUCGGGACAACGACCUCAUCAUGCGCCCCUGCCGCCUGUCGCCUGUCGCCUAUACGAGAUUUAGAGCAUUUAAUGCGACUAACAAGCUCCCACCUAACCCUGUAGGCAUGACAACCAUGAUGAUGGAUCGUGUGCCCGUCAAAUCCCACUUUUCAUCAGCUUUAUCCCCAAAUUUAGGGAAAGGUACGCGCUGGCACUUUUGCAAUCAGCAUGAUGUCCUGUCAGAUGGCCCCUCGAGGCAUAGUGGUCAGGGCUCCCGCAUACGGACGCCGCCUAACCCGUCAAGCCCUCGAGCUCGCCAACUCCAUUCCAGAGAAGGGUUGGGUGAUGGAAGUCGGCGGUCAAAUCACUCCAAACAUGACGACUACCAAGACGUACAGGCAUGCAUAUUUGCGGACCAAUACCAAGCGAUAUAGAAAGGGUCAGCCCAGAAGGCACACGCGCCAUCAUCACCAAGUAUAUUACAACAAGACCGAUCGAGGCCAUGCCGGUACGGAAGCCUCAAGUCGACUCACGCCAUACCCCUAUCGAGGCCUACUCUAGCGCGUACAUCGCGGAACCCUGAGCCUCUCCUUGGACUAUAAAAGGGGACGCCAGGGCCGAGCAAAAGAGAAGACACAUAUGUAGAACACCAAAAUCAAAUACACCGCCUCUCGCCGUCCAAGCUUUAGACAGUUAGGACUUAGAAUCCACCUUCACACUCUCUUGUAUUCACCCCUAUACAAGCACUUAGGUGCAAGAUAAUACAAACACUCCCCGCACUGAACGUAGGGCCUUCUCUUGCCCGAAGUAGGAUAAAUUCUCGUGUUCAUCUUGCGUCACCAUCAGGAAAGGAAUACACACACACAAAUUCACUCAUUGGUGUUACCCUUUGGCAUUAAAACACCGACCCUUGGUGCACUAGGUAGUUGUCCCACAUGUUUCCUGACAAUUUUGCACCCUUUUAUGGAUGGCCACCUCUGUUUCACCAAUUCCAUGCUCCACGGUGAUCUAGUUUGGGAGCCUUGAGUUCAUGUCCACCGGUUUCAGAUACGACAUGAUCUUGCUCUCAGUCAAAGGGCCAGAUGGAGCCUGCAUUGUGCCCUCACAAUCAAGGGCCACACAUCAGCCUCACCACCACGCCUCCCAAACUAUGAGGAGACAAGAGCAGCCCCGUCACCGUUGGCCUACAGCUACCGCAUGAUCACUGGCCCGAGCAGACCGGCUGAGCCCUCUACUAGAAGGUCUGUUAUGUCCUCACUCGGGGGUAGUAGCCAAGCCAGCCAGCUGUGGGGGCGAUCGCCGCUCUGCAGCACCAAGGGAGAUCAUCCCUUGCGCGACUUCACCACCUUCUUCCUUGCUACUGCAUGGGCUGUUCGCUGCUAGACGCCUGCUCCUAUUCGACCUCGAUAAUGCUGUGACAUCCCUCGCCAGGACAGUCCUUCCCCGUGCCAAUACGCACGCAGAGCGGCCACUGGCCCUCGCGUGUGGUGUAAUAGCGCAAAAGGAGAUACCAUCAUCGGUUAAAAGCCCAAGCUUUCUGCAGAUAUGCAGGCCUCAACCCCUUGGGCUAGGGUGGUACACGCUCGCCAUGUGGAGACAUCAGUUGGCGGAAAAAUGGCGUGGAUGCUUCUACACCACCAUAGAACCCAACCCCGACACUAAGUCUGAUAGCUACAACCCCACGAGGGAGUACUUCAACGUCAUGGAUGGGGCCGUGGCCACCACCGACGACACUGAGGAUGAUGGCAAUGCCGCUACUGCUACGCCGUUCCAGCAGGAGGAGCCAACCCCAGGACCCCUAGGUAGGGAGGACGACGGGACCCUCCUCCUCAUGACAACAAGGCCGCGCAGCUUGUGCAAUUGGUUGAGUUAAUGGCCAAGCUCGUUGAGGAUCGGGAAUGGUUGAACCAACUGGAAUGGGCUCUCGAGCAAGAUCAAGUGCAUCCACAGAGCAGAGGUGCUUGAGGUUGCGCUUGAGACGUCUACCGACAGAUCGUCGAGGGUGCAGAACUGGAAUGCCUCAUCAACUGUUUCCCUCAAGCAGACCAAAACAUAGUGGCGGCAACCAUGGUACUCUGCAAUAUGCCCGAGCCCUCAAACUCCCAAGCACACCACAUACGGGAUGAGGACCAAGGCUUACUCCACAUUGCGGCGGCACAACAGGCUAAAAGUUUAGCAUCUCGACGUCGAGGGGUGGCCAUGGAAAAGCGCCACGAGCCAGCACGACAUGAGAAGGAGGUUUCUAUCCACCAGGAACCUCCUCCUCGAGGCAAGAAGGUGGCAUCGAUCUAGAAGCACCUCGUCGACAAUCGGGAGCCACAUGAUGCACGACACGACCUCAACAAGCAUCGGCGACGCAAGCACGGGGAUGCCGAGGAAUGGCUACAACGCUCACUGUGGCGGGCGCUACGACACCGAUGAGGACCAGAUGGCUCGAGAGCCGCCGAGGCCUCGAGUCUUCAGCCGGGCAAUCCGCAACAUGCCACUACCCAACUCGUUUCGACCCCCAAGCAGUAUCACCAAAUACAAUGGUGAGACUAAGACAAAACUAUGGUUGGCAAACUUCUGCCUGGCAUGCCAAUUGGGUGGGGCUCGAUGAGAUGAUCGAGCCAUCAUCCGACAGCUACUGCUCUUACUCUGUGAUACCGCUCACAGGUGGCUCGAAGAACACCUUGCCAACGAAAUUCACGACAAGGCCGACCUGGUCAGAGUGUUCGAGGGGAAUUUCAAAUGGACCUAUAUCCGCCCAUACAACUCGUGGGAUCUCAGCAAAUGCAAGCAGAAGGCCGAAGAAUCUCUUUGAGAGUACGCUCGAUGCUUCUCCAAGCUACGCACCGAGCUCCCACACAUCCCCAACCAUGACAUCAUCCUGGCAUUUGUGUUAGGCACCUCCCACAAGGACCUGGUGCGGGAAUUAGGGCACAAUCGCCCGCAGACCAACGAUAAGCUGAUGGACGUAGUAGCCAACUACGUGGCCAGUGAUGAAGCAGUUGGCGUGUUCUUCGGCCACAGAGCGACAAGGGGAAGGCGCCAGUGGAUGAUGAUGAGAGCCCCAGCAUAGGAUCCAAAAAGAACAACAACAAGAAGAAUAAGGCACGAUAGAACAAGCGCGAGGCCAUCGACGAUGAUUUCAUUGUCGUGGUCGAACGUAAGAAGCCUCGAGGCCCUCCUGAAGGGGUCAUCUUCGACAAGAGGCUCAAGGAGCCUUGCCCUUAUCACAUGGGGGGCAACCACAAGUUUGAGGAUUGCCGUAUGCUGAAAAUUACUUCGACAACUUGGGCCUGAAGAGGGAUGGCCAAAAGAAAGAUAAGGGCGACGAUAAGGGCGGAAGCAAGGAUGACGACAGGUUCCCUGCCGUCCACGACUGAUACAUGAUCUAUGGUGGGCCCGUGAUACAGCUCACGUCUUGACAGCGUAAGAGGGAACAACAGGAGGUCUUUGCGGUCUGGAUGGCUAUGCCCCAGUACCUUGACUAGUCCAGCACCCCUAUCACCUUCAACCGUGAUGACCAUCCUAACCACGUUGUUAGCCCCGGUGUCUAUCCACUCAUCGUCGACCCUAUAAUUGUCAAGGCCCGACUCUCCAAGGUGCUGAUGGAUGGCGGCAGCAGCCUCAACAUCAUCUACCUCGAGAGCCUUGACCUCCUAGGGAUCGAAAGAGCACAGCUCCAACCAAGCGCAUGAGGCUUUCAUGGAGUCAUACCAGGGAAGAAGGCCCUUCCGGUGGGCUAAAUCGACCUUUCGAUCUGUUUCGGCAUGUCGGCCAAUUUUAGAAAGGAGACCCUAACGUUUGAAGUGGUGGGCUUCCACGGCACCUAUCACACCAUCAUCGGUCGCCCAGGGUAUGCCAAAUUCAUGGCCAUCCCCAACUACACGUACGUCAAGUUGAACAUGCCCGAGCCCAAGGGAGUCAUCACCGUUAGUUCCUCCCAUGAGCACGCCUACAAAUGCGACAUCGAGUGCAUUGAGUAUAGGGAGGAUAUUGAGAACACCACUGAGCUUGCCUCGAGACUCGAGGCCCUUGUCGUCGAGGCCCUAAAGCCAAAGUGCUAUGCUGGGAUCUUUGAGCUGGUGGAAGGCACCAAGAAGAUCAAUAAAUAGGAAGUCGUGCUCGUCGACCUCCCCCGUGCAAAUGCUGACAUGUUUGCGUGGAGUCCCUUUGAAAUGCUUGGCAUACUGAGGGAGGUCACUCAGCAUGCCUUGGAGAUCUGGGUCGGCUCCAAACUAGUGAAGCAAUUGUGUGCUGCUUCGACGAGGAGAAGCGUCGGAUCAUUGGAGAGGAGGUUCACAAGCUUUUGGCAGCUGGAUUCAUCAAGGAGGUUCAUCAUUCCGAGUGGUUAGCUAAUCCUAUACUUGUUAAGAAGAAAAAUGGGAAGAUGCGGAUGUGUGUCGAUUACACUAGUCUAAAUAAAGCAUGUUCAAAAGUUCCAUUUCCUUUACCAUGCAUUGAACAAAUAGUCGAUUCCACUACGACAUGUGAAACCCUUUCUUUCUGUGAUGCUUAUUCCGGCUACCAUCAAAUAAAGCUGAAGGAGUCCGUUCAGCUCGUGACUCCCUUUAUCACCCAUUUCGGUAGGUACUGCUAUGUCACCAUGCCCUUUGGCCUCUGAAACGUUGGGGUGACAUAUCAGAGGUGCAUGUUACACAUUUUUGGGGACCACACAGGUUCGACGGUCGAGGCUUACGUCAAUGACAUCAUGGUCAAGUCAAAGUAAUUAGGGAACCUCAUACAGGACCUCGAGACCGUGUUUGGCUGUCUGUGAGCCAACAACAUCAAGCUCAAUCCUAAGAAAUGUGUCGUUGGCGCGCCUCGUGGCAUGCUCUUAGGGUACAUUGUCUCUCAUCGCGGUAUUAAGGCCAACCCCAAGAAAGUCUCAGCCAUCACGAGAAUGGGACCGAUUCAAGACAUCAAAGGCAUACAGAAGGUGACGGGCUGCCUAGCGGUGCUUAGCUAUUUCAUCUCACAACUGGGGUGUUGUUGCAAAAGUGGAUCUGCAAACACAAAGGGCUAAUACCCGAUUCAAUGUAAGGCGUGCUAGCCGAUUUGACCUUACAACUGACAAAGGUGAUAACCCGAAUACUUUGGUCCCGACAACAGUGAUGCGCCCGGAUGCCACGGCCAAGAGGUAUUCACGCGGAACUUGAGAACUCGCCGAGUUUGACUUGAUGAUUUCCUAAGAACUCGUAAGUAAAAAGAAAAUAUGCAAGGUGACGAAGUCGUUGAAAAGUAGAUGCUAGAAUAGAUGUAAAAACUUGUGUUUGAUUGAUUGUGUAUAUUUCUUACAUUGAUACGGGGUCUACUUUUAUAUCCUGCCCAAAAGAGUUACAACCAGACAUGAGUAGGACUCUAUUCCAAAUUGAAUGGAAUCCGUAUGUAAAACAAACUCUAAUAACUAUGGAAAAAAUUAAUCUAUCCAUGAUAUGCGAUCGGCACACCGUCACCAUCCUAUUGACGAUUCCCGUGCCUUCUUCUGCUAUCAUCGGCAAAUCACCUUCCAUCGGCAUCGGCAACCAUUAAUAUCGGCCAUCGGCACAGAUUAACCAUCAUCCCUGGACUUGGCCACAUUCUAUUGUUUCUUCAUCAGCAUCAUAACCCAUCGGCAACUCCUCUGAUAACCAGUCACCACUCUUUCACCUGCCGAUCUACGUUUCAUUAACUCCCAGAUACAUGUCCAAAGAUACGUGUCCAAAACGGUGUCAACACAUGCUCCCCAAUUUCGGAGUAUAAAUUCAUUAAUGCUCCGAAAUUCUCUUUAGUAAUGAUGUCUUUCCACAAUUACUCCCCUCUGACAAUAAUCGGUUACCAAAUCCAAACAACCUUAGUUCGGAUCUCCAGCAUGCACCUCGAAUCCCUCAACUUCUCGAACCGAAUCUCCUAAACACACGUUCAUCGACAACUUUUCCGUUAGAGAGGAUUGUCGAUGAGCCAACCAGGAGAUCUUGCACAGUAAAAUAUCUCCUAAAAUCAUGACUGCUUGCUGUCAAAUCACUUGCACAAUCCUUGAUUACUGUGUGAACAGUUACCAUAUCCACCUGAACACCCUCGAGUUUUACGGAUACAGCAAAGAGAUAAGUCAGAAAUGCCCGUGCUCACUUUGUCCUAUAAAUACUUCCUUCUUCGGCACUCUUCCUCUACCUUGUCAUCCAGCAUCCUCCAAACCCAUCACCCUGGCGGCGGUCUUGUCGAAGAACCCAAGAACUCCAGCAAAAAUCUUCCUCAACAGUUCUCCAAGUCCUCGAUCUUCUUCUCCUUCAGGAGGAAAUGGCCGUCAACUUCAUCGUUCCUGAGGUUAUUCUACCCUCAUCUUUCCUCUUUUUGCCGUACUUUCUACCUUUUGUACAGCUAUUUACUUAGUAUUUUCUUUCUUUUUCCUUUUCUCUGUUCUUCAAUCUUCAAACCAUUAGGAAUUAACCGAGAAAAUCAUCAUUCCUACCGAGCAAACCCACCUUCAAUGCCUCAGUCCGCUGGGUAAUUCGGAUCCUACCGAUCUGAUCAACGUGGAAACAAAUAGUAUUCCCUUUAGAUCCGAGAACUUUUCUUUGGAUCUAUGGAAAGAUACCUUUCGAUCCUGGCCGAGUUCCAUCAAGGGAUGAAAGGAUUGGUUCUUGAGAGUUAGUAACUCAAAUGAAAUAUACUGGGGCAAACGUAAAUUAGAUUAGUGCAUCAGGCUAUCAAUUGCCAAUAUGGAUAGAAAUGAGUCAUUAUUGAUAGCUGCCUCAUAUUUCUGGUCAGAUACUCUCAAUGCUUUCCGAUUCGGUAACGGUCCCGCUUCCCCUACUCUUGCCGAUGUGCUCAUGCUCACUAGUUUAGAUAUUGCAUCUGCCGAUGAUAGCCAUCUGUACGACCGUAAAGCUAAACGCAAGGUAGAAACCCGCAACAUUGGCGGUUGGUCAGGAUAUAUCCAGAAGUACCAGAAAACAGGACCAGUCAGUCAAAGGGAGCAUGCCAUUUUCCUGAACAUGUGGCUAGAUAAGUUCAUCUUCUGUGGCCGAUCAGUAGGACCAACCUCUGUCUAUCUAUCGGCAGCAGAAAGGUUAGCCGAUGGUGGUCGAUUCCCUCUUGGUCGAUACCUACUAGGUUCUGCUUACCACCUCCUCCACCAAGUGACUGAGAAGUUUCUGCUAGGUGAACCCAUCGGCAACUUAGGAGGCCCCUAGUGUUUCAUCAACAUGUGGCUUAAUGUUCACAUGCAUAAACGCCUUUGGUUUGAUUUAUUUGCUUAGCGAUUCCCCAGAGAUAUUGCCGAAGACCAUGAACUGGCCGACGAUGAAUCGGCAACUCGCCCACCCCUCAAUUAUGGUGAUACUGCUAUAGUUUUACCUAGCACCGAAAGUAAUGAAAACCAGAUCGGCCGAUUCUUCCAAACUCUGUAUGACGGCCUCUCUAAAGAUCAGCGGGCAUGGAUGCCUUAUGAGGACCCAGAAACCAGAUUUCCACUCACCUUCCAUCCAUUUGACAAUGCUCUCAACAAGGAUAAUGCCUUGAUGAUGGCAAUCAUUACUCCGAGGGCAAUUCCAGUGAACACAUUUGGCAAUGGAAAGAAUAGCAACUCCACUUAUGAGUUUUACAACCCAUCAGCAUUAGCUCACCAACUAGCUUUUGGCCAAUUGCCGAUCAGACUCUGCUACGUCGAUGUGGUGAAACCCAGGGAAACCAUAACCAGCGGACUUGAAUGGAUAAGGAUAGCUCAGCUCCAGCCAAACGCCGAUACGAUGGACAUCGAUCUAUCGGCCUGGGUGCCAGCUCUUUUCAUUACUCAGUUGUACAAACAUUGGUGGGAGGAAUGGAAGGAGCACCUGUUUGACGCAUCAGCCUAGACAUACCAUGGCAUGAUCGACCCUAACUACAAAGUCCCCGAUAACAUUGUAAGUCUAUUACCGAUACCUCGAUCCUUUUAUUAUUUCUGAUCCUAUCGACAACUUAUUUAUUUCUUUGUUUUUCAACAGGUUGAUAACCCAGCACCGACAGUCAGUAGGAGUGGAAAGCCGAUUGAUCUUCUUCCAUCAGGCCGGAUUUCUUCGAUCGGCCAUCACGCACCAAGUCUAGCAGCUCUGGCGCACCGCAAUGUGCGCUUCAAGAAGAUGACCACCAAGCGGUCGAAGAUGUCCCCAUCGGUUGCUGCUGCCACUCUGCCGUAGGCUUUCAAGGUAGAAUCUUAAUUUCCUUUGCUUAUACUGAUUUCGUCCCAUACUCAUAUAAUCUUUUCAGGGCACACCGGCUGCAACCGGAACUUCAUCGGUAAUUAUAUUUUCCACUUCAUUAAUGCUCUUCCUUACGUCCACUCAUGAAAUUUUAUUCUUUGCAGCAGCAGACUAGCAAAUCGGCAAAGGCCAAGAGCACUCAAACGUUAGGUGCUGAUGCCCCCCAGCCUAGCCAAGCAACCAAGAGAAAGGGUCCCAAAAGCACCAAGACCCAGCCAAAGUGCCAGAAAACGACACCAUCCUCUCCUCCUCGUCCAGUGUCACCGAUCCAGGUAGCAUCAUCCCCUUCUUCACCAGAAACCCAAACACAACAAGUACCUUCUCCUCCUCGAGCAGCACUCAGCCAGAAGAAGCAUCAGCUGAUGUUUCUGAACAGAUUGCCGACCCAGCUGAUCCGAGCACAUCAUCGGUCGUUCCCCCAGAACUGACAAGCACUGCACCCCUCAAGUUAAAGUACUGAUCACAGGAUUAUCACCGAUGGAUUUAUCUUUACAAACUAUAAUUAUCUUUGCAAUUUUUCAGUUGAAGUUAUUCCAUCGGCAACUUCAGCUGAUCAACCCAUAGUAUCGGCUGCAUCCCCACGUCAGAGGCACGAAAUCGCUCUGAAGCAAGUAAGUUAUUUGACCUCUAGCUUUUAUAUUAUUAAUAUCUGAUCAUCGAAUAAUUUACCUUCAUUUCCAGUAUAGGAACAAGAUUCUCCAAACAGCUUAUUCUCCUUUGCCAUCGACAUUUCUGAUGACGAGGGCGAAGAAGCAAGUCCUUCUCAGGCAGUAGGAAUUUCAUCGGCAGAGAUUAAGGCUAAGUUGGAAGACUUGUUGGUUCUGCUCCAUCAUGAUACAGCCCAGCUAGUAGAUGAUUCUGAUCCAGCCAAAACUUUAUUCAAGACUCUUCAUGGUCAGAUCCCAGCCGAUGCAGAAGAAGUCCUUUUCCAAGCUGUAGACUUAGAGAGACGCUAGCUCCAAUAUCAGAAAGCAACUCAGCGUCUUGCCGAUAGGGCUGCUCACGUCCGGCUCGCAGAGGAAGUGAUGCAAGUAAAGCGCGUCACCGAUGAAAAACACAAGAGCAUCGACAUUCUGCAGUCUUCAGGGGAUGAGCUGAAGCAGAAGAUUUCCGACCUAUCGGCAAGAAGGGAAGCCUUACUAGCUGAGCUCAAACAAGUAGAAGAGGCCUUGACCCAAGCUCAGCAAAAAGAAAGCCAGCUGCCUGAGAUGCUCAAGACUCUUCAACAAGAACGAAACAUCCAAGCCCGUAAAGCACUACAGAUGAAGAAGAAGCUGAAACUAGUAGAGGGUUCUGCCGAUGAAGAUAUCCGAGAGAUAGAAGAGGCCAACCUGAUCCGUCUGCGUGCCAUAUCGACUAUUCAAGCUUUGCUGAAUCCGUAAGCUCUUCAUCGGCAAUUUUCAUUCCAUUCUGCCCUUAGAAACUUUUGAUCAUUCUGGUCUAGCCGAUAGGACUGUUAUCGGUACUUUAAAACAUCAUGCAUGAUCUCAGAUACAUUUCAUCCAGUCGAUAGGAGUGUUAUCGGCAUUUGAACUUCUAUGCGUCAAUCCAGAUACUUGGGUAAUACUUCUUUAAAUAUUUUCCAUUUAAUGCUCUUCAAAAUAUAAGGAUUGCCUGGAGCAGACUGAUUUAUCCGAUAAGGACCUUCCCAAUUAGGAGAUAAUUUUCCAAAUUUUGAACUUUUAGUCCCAAUCGGUAGAAUUAAUUUCCAUACCAAAUCUCCAUCGGCAAACUCCUUAGCGUUUACUUUUUUUAUCAUACCAUUUAGCAACUCUCGUUUUAUUUUCUUCUAUACUCAUCAAAGCCCUCAACCGAUGCUCUGCCAAAUCAUCCAACUCAUCUUUCAUCAAAGUAGCAUAGUCAUCGGCAGCCAAUUGAUUUUGGAAAGACACCCACCUAGAUUCUGUCUUAAUUUCUCAUGGUAAUACCACAUCGUGCCCAUAUACCAAUUGAUAUGGUGAAACUUUGGUUGAUCCAUGGCACACCAUCCGAUAUGACCACAAAGCUUCAUUUAACAAUCUAUGCCAUCUUCUAGGAUUUUCUUCAACUUUCCGCCUAAUGAGCUUAACAAUUCCUUUAUUAGAAUCCUCGGCCUGUCCAUUAGCUUGAGCGUAAUAAGGAGAAGAAUUCAACACUUUAAUUCCCAUACUGAUUGCAAAUUCAUCAAAUUCUCCUAAUGUGAACAUCGUACUCUGAUCGGUAGUAAUUGUCUGAGGAAUGCCAAAUCGGUAAACAAUACGCACUUUUACAAAAUCAAUCAUAUUGGCCGAUGUUACUUUCUUCAAAGGAAUAGCUUCAACCCAUUUGGUGAAAUAAUCAAUGGCAACUAAGAUAAAUUUAUGUCCUUUGCUUGAUGGUGGAUAAAUCUGGUCGAUGAGAUCAAUAGCGCAUCCCCGGAACGGCCAAGGUUUAAUUAUAGGAUUCAUGGACGAUGCGGGUGCUCUUUGAAUAUUACCAAACUUCUAACAUCCUUGACACCCUUUAAAGUAUUUAAAGAAAUCUUCAAGUAUAGUUGGCCAAUAAUAUCCAUUCCUCCUAAUCAUCCACUUCAUCUUGAAAGCUAAUUUAUGUGCUCCACACACUCCUUCUCGAUAUUCUGCAGUCUUCAGGGGAUGAGCUGAAGCAGAAGAUUUCCGACCUAUCGGCAAGAAGGGAAGCCUUACUAGCUGAGCUCAAACAAGUAGAAGAGGCCUUGACCCAAGCUCAGCAAAAAGAAAGCCAGCUGCCUGAGAUGCUCAAGACUCUUCAUCAAGAACGAAACAUCCAAGCCCGUAAAGCACUACAGAUGAAGAAGAAGCUGAAACCAGUAGAGGGUUUUGAAGAUGAAGAUAUCCGAGAGAUAGAAGAGGCCACCCUGAUCCGUCUGCGUGCCAUAUCGACUAUUCAAGCUUUGCUGAAUCCGUAAGUUCUUCAUCGGCAAUUCGUUCCAUUCUGCCCUUAGAAACUUUUGAUCAUUCUGGUCUAGCCGAUAGGACUGUUAUCGGUACUUUAAAACAUCAUGCAUGAUCUCAGUUACAUUUCAUCCAGUCGAUAGCAGUGUUAUCGGCAUUUGAACUUCUAUGCGUCAAUCCAGAUACUUGGGUAAUACGUCUUUAAAUAUUUUCCAUUUAAUGCUCUUUAAAAUAUAAGGAUUGCCUGGAGCAGACUGAUUUAUCCGAUAAGGACCUUCCCAAUUAGGAGACAAUUUUCCUAAUUUUGAACUUUUAGUCCCAAUCGGUAGAAUUAAUUUCCAUACCAAAUCUCCAUCGGCAAACUCCUUAGCGUUUACUUUUUUAUCAUACCAUUUAGCAACUCUCGUUUUAUUUUCUUCUAUACUCAUCAAAGCCCUCAACCGAUGCUCUGCCAAAUCAUCCAACUCAUCUUUCAUCAAAGUAGCAUAGUCAUCGGCAGCCAAUUGAUUUUGGAAAGACACCCACCUAGAUCUUGUCUUAAUUUCCCAUGGUAAUACCGCAUCGUGCCCAUAUACCAAUUGAUAUGGUGAAACUUUGGUUGAUCCAUGGCACGCCAUCCGAUAUGACCACAAAGCUUCAUUUAACAAUCUAUGCCAUCUUCUAGGAUGUUCUUCAACUUUCCACCUAAUGAGCUUAACGAUUCCUUUAUUAGAAUCCUCGGCCUGUCCAUUAGCUUGAGCGUAAUAAGGAGAAGAAUUCAACACUUUAAUUCCCAUACUGGUUGCAAAUUCAUCAAAUUCUCCUAAUGUGAACAUCGUACUCUGAUCGGUAGUAAUUGUCUGAGGAAUGCCAAAUCGGUAAACAAUACGCUCUUUUACAAAAUCAAUCAUAUUGGCCGAUGUUACUUUCUUCAAAGGAAUAGCUUCAACCCAUUUGGUGAAAUAAUCAAUGGCAACUAAGAUAAAUUUAUGUCCUUUGCUUGAUGGUGGAUAAAUCUGGCCGAUGAGAUCAAUAGCCCAUCCCCGGAACGACCAAGGUUUAAUUAUAGGAUUCAUGGACGAUGCGGGUGCUCUUUGAAUAUUACCAAACUUCUAACAUCCUUGACACCCUUUAAAGUAUUUAAAGAAAUCUUCAAGUAUAGUUGGCCAAUAAUAUCCGUUCCUCCUAAUCAUCCACUUCAUCUUGAAAGCUGAUUUAUGUGCUCCACACACUCCUUCUCGAUAUUCUGCAGUCUUCAGGGGAUGAGCUGAAGCAGAAGAUUUCCGACCUAUCGGCAAGAAGGGAAGCCUUACUAGCUGAGCUCAAACAAGUAGAAGAGGCCUUGACCCAAGCUCAGCAAAAAGAAAGCCAGCUGCCUGAGAUGCUCAAGACUCUUCAUCAAGAACGAAACAUCCAAGCCCGUAAAGCACUACAGAUGAAGAAGAAGCUGAAACCAGUAGAGGGUUUUGAAGAUGAAGAUAUCCGAGAGAUAGAAGAGGCCAACCUGAUCCGUCUGCGUGCCAUAUCGACUAUUCAAGCUUUGCUGAAUCCGUAAGUUCUUCAUCGGCAAUUCGUUCCAUUCUGCCCUUAGAAACUUUUGAUCAUUCUGGUCUAGCCGAUAGGACUGUUAUCGGUACUUUAAAACAUCAUGCAUGAUCUCAGUUACAUUUCAUCCAGUCGAUAGGAGUGUUAUCGGCAUUUGAACUUCUAUGCGUCAAACCAGAUACUUGGGUAAUACUUCUUUAAAUAUUUUCCAUUUAAUGCUCUUUAAAAUAUAAGGAUUGCCUGGAGCAAACUGAUUUAUCCGAUAAGGACCUUCCCAAUUAGGAGACAAUUUUCCAAAUUUUGAACUUUUAGUCCCAAUCGGUAGAAUUAAUUUCCAUACCAAAUCUCCAUCGGCAAACUCCUUAGCGUUUACUUUUUUAUCAUACCAUUUAGCAACUCUCGUUUUAUUUUCUUCUAUACUCAUCAAAGCCCUCAACCGAUGCUCUGCCAAAUCAUCCAACUCAUCUUUUAUCAAAGUAGCAUAGUCAUCGGCAGCCAAUUGAUUUUGGAAAGACACCCACCUAGAUCUUGUCUUAAUUUCCCAUGGUAAUACCGCAUCGUGCCCAUAUACCAAUUGAUAUGGUGAAACUUUGGUUGAUCCAUGGCACGCCAUCCGAUAUGACCACAAAGCUUCAUUUAACAAUCUAUGCCAUCUUCUAUGAUUUUCUUCAACUUUCCGCCUAAUGAGCUUAAUGAUUCCUUUAUUAGAAGCCUCGGCCUGUCCAUUAGCUUGAGCGUAAUAAGGAGAAGAAUUCAACACUUUAAUUCCCAUACUGAUUGCAAAUUCAUCAAAUUCUCCUAAUGUGAACAUCGUACUCUGAUCGGUAGUAAUUGUCUGAGGAAUGCCAAAUCGGUAAACAAUACGCUCUUUUACAAAAUCAAUCAUAUUGGCCGAUGUUACUUUCUUCAAAGGAAUAGCUUCAACCCAUUUGGUUAAAUAAUCAAUGGCAAAUAAGAUAAAUUUAUGUCCUUUGCUUGAUGGUGGAUAAAUCUGGCCGAUGAGAUCAAUAGCCCAUCCCCGGAACGGCCAAGGUUUAAUUAUAGGAUUCAUGGACGAUGCGGGUGCUCUUUGAAUAUUACCAAACUUCUAACAUCCUUGACACCCUUUAAAGUAUUUAAAGAAAUCUUCAAGUAUAGUUGGCCAAUAAUAUCCGUUCCUCCUAAUCAUCCACUUCAUCUUGAAAGCUGAUUUAUGUGCUCCACACACUCCUUCUCGAUAUUCUGCAGUCUUCAGGGGAUGAGCUGAAGUAGAAGAUUUCCGACCUAUCGGCAAGAAGGGAAGCCUUACUAGCUGAGCUCAAACAAGUAGAAGAGGCCUUGACCCAAGCUCAGCAAAAAGAAAGCCAGCUGCCUGAGAUGCUCAAGACUCUUCAAUAAGAACGAAACAUCCAAGCCCGUAAAGCACUACAGAUGAAGAAGAAGCCGAAACCAGUAGAGGGUUUUGAAGAUAAAGAUAUCCGAGAGAUAGAAGAGGCCAACCUGAUUCGUCUGCGUGCCAUAUCGACUAUUCAAGCUUUGCUGAAUCCGUAAGUUCUUCAUCGGCAAUUCGUUCCAUUCUGCCCUUAGAAACUUUUGAUCAUUCUGGUCUAGCCGAUAGGACUGUUAUCGGUACUUUAAAACAUCAUGCAUGAUCUCAGUUACAUUUCAUCCAGUCGAUAGGAGUGUUAUUGGCAUUUGAACUUCUAUGCGUCAAUCCAGAUACUUGGGUAAUACUUCUUUAAAUAUUUUCCAUUUAAUGCUCUUUAAAAUAUAAGGAUUGCCUGGAGCAGACUGAUUUAUCCGAUAAGGACCUUCCCAAUUAGGAGACAAUUUUCCAAAUUUUGAACUUUUAGUCCCAAUCGGUAGAAUUAAUUUCCAUACCAAAUCUCCAUCGGCAAACUCCUUAGCGUUUACUUUUUUAUCAUACCAUUUAGCAACUCUCGUUUUAUUUUCUUCUAUACUCAUCAAAGCCCUCAACCGAUGCUCUGCCAAAUCAUCCAACUCAUCUUUCAUCAAAGUAGCAUAGUCAUCGGCAGCCAAUUGAUUUUGGAAAGACACCCACCUAGAUCUUGUCUUAAUUUCCCAUGGUAAUACCGCAUCGUGCCCAUAUACCAAUUGAUAUGGUGAAACUUUGGUUGAUCCAUGGCACGCCAUCCGAUAUGACCACAAAGCUUCAUUUAACAAUCUAUGCCAUCUUCUAUGAUUUUCUUCAUCUUUCCGCCUAAUGAGCUUAAUGAUUCCUUUAUUAGAAGCCUCGGCCUGUCCAUUAGCUUGAGCGUAAUAAGGAGAAGAAUUCAACACUUGAAUUCCCAUACUGAUUGCAAAUUCAUCAAAUUGUCCUAAUGUGAACAUCGUACUCUGAUCGGUAGUAAUUGUCUGAGGAAUGCCAAAUCGGUAAACAAUACGCUCUUUUACAAAAUCAAUCAUAUUGGCCGAUGUUACUUUCUUCAAAGGAAUAGCUUCAACCCAUUUGGUGAAAUAAUCAAUGGCAACUAAGAUAAAUUUAUGUCCUUUGCUUGAUGGUGGAUAAAUCUGGCCGAUGAGAUCAAUAGCCCAUCCCCGGAACGGCCAAGGUUUAAUUAUAGGAUUCAUGGACGAUGCGGGUGCUCUUUGAAUAUUACCAAACCUCUAACAUCCUUGACACCCUUUAAAGUAUUUAAAGAAAUCUUCAAGUAUAGUUGGCCAAUAAUAUCCGUUCCUCCUAAUCAUCCACUUCAUCUUGAAAGGUGAUUGAUGUGCUCCACACACUCCUUCAUGAAUUUCACCCAUCAAGCUUCUAGCUUCAUCAUCACCCAAGCACUUGAGUAAGACUCCAUCUACUGUUCGAUAAUACAACUCUUCUUCAAGGAGUACAUACCUCGUAGCUUGGAACCUAACACGCCUCUCAACCCUUUUAGACGGGUCUUUUAAAUAAUCAAUGAUCUCCUUUCUCCAAUCAUCGGCACUGACUGCCGAUAGUAUAUUCGGGAUGGGUUGAGAUCCUGAGGCGUGUUGAGCCAAUCGCUGGGCUUCUUCGUUAUGUAACCGAGGAAUAUGCUCUAAUCGGAAAGUGUUGAAUUACCUUAACAAUUGUACGCACCUUUCAUAGUAGGUUAUCAAAACCUCACUUCGACAUUCAUAAAUUCCAGCCAACUUAUUUAUAAUAAGCAUAGAAUCGCCGAUGAUUUCAACAGCAUCGGCGUGAACCUCCUUUAAUAGUACCAAUCCUUUGAUCAAAGCUUGAUACUCGGCUUGAUUAUUUAUUGACGUGACAACUAUCGACAAAGAAAAUUUAUACUUCUUUCCUCGAGGAGAAAUUAGUACUGUGCCAAUUCCUGCCCCCCGGUCACAUGUAGAUCCAUCAAAGAAGAGCAUCCAAGGAACGACUUCCAAAGCACCCACUACACUGCAAUGCUGAGUCACAAAAUUGGCUAUAAUCUGCCCUUUAACUGCCUUAGCUAAUUCAUAGCGUAGAUCAAAUUCUGAUAAUGCCAAAAUCCAUUUGCCAAUUCCACCACUCAUAAUCGGCUAACAUGUACCGGACUACAUCAUCUUUGCAUAUAACAGUGCAUUCGGCCGACAGCAAGUAAUGUCUUAAUUUGAUACAAGAAAAGUACAAACAUAAACACAAUUUUUCAAUUGCCGAAUACCUUGUCUCAGCAUCCACCAGUCUAGAAUUAGAGCCGAACCGAUGACCAUCCCAUCGGUAGACAAAUAUAAUCUGAAAGGCUUUCCUUGUUGAGGUGGAAUCAGAACUGGAGGAUUUGUCAAAUAAUCCUUGAUUUCAUCCAAUGCUAACUGUUGCUCUCUCCCACACACAAAUUAUUGAUCGGCUUUUAACUUAAGCAAAGGACUAAAAGCACGAAUCUUACCAGAGAAAUUAGAUAUAAAUCAUCUGAUGAAAUUUAGCUUACCGAUCAGUGAUUGAAGUUCAGUCUUAUUGGUGGGAGCAACUACCUUGUUGAUGGUAUCAAUAGAUCUCCUACUAAUUUCAAUCCCUCUCUGAUGCACCAUGAAACCAAUAAAUUGUCCUGCCAAUACACCAAAUGCACAUUUAUUAGGAUUCAUCUUUAAACCAUGCUUCCUUGUGCACUCCAGCACUUUUCGCAGAUCGACAAGAUGCUUUGGGAAAUCUCCAGACUUAACCACCAUGUCAUCGAUAUAAAUCUCCACCAACUUGCCGAUGAACUCAUGAAAGAUAAAAUUCAUAGCCCUCUGAUAAGUAGCACCAGCAUUCUUCAAGCCGAAAGUCAUGACUAUCCAUUCAAACAGUCCAACAUGACCAGGACAUCUAAAUGCAGUCUUGGAAAUAUCCUCCUCAGCCAUGAAUAUUUGAUUGUAUCCUGCAUUGCCAUCCAUAAAGCUAAUGAUCCGAUGUCCAGCUGCAGCGUCAACCAACAAAUCAGGAACUGGUAUUGGAUAACCAUCCAUCGGCGUAGCCUUAUUAAGGUUCCUAAAGUCAAUGCAGACGCGAAGUUUCCCAUUCUUCUUGUAAACCGUAACAACAUUGGAAAUCCAUUCAGCAUACCGACAUUGCCGAAUAAACUUAGCUUCAAUAAGUUUAGUUAUUUUGGUCUUAAUAUCAGGAAGAAUACUAGGAUUACAUCGGCGUGCUGGUUGCUGAUGCGGCCGAAACCCAGACUUAAUAGGCAACCGAUGUUCAACGAUCGAUCGGUCUAAACAGAUCGGUUAAUCCCAAGCAAAGCAAUCUUUAUAUUCCAUUAACAGAUCGGUUAAUUAUUGCUUACACUCGGAAUCUAACUUAGCACUAAUAAAAGUAGGCCUUGGCCUAUCACCAUUACCUAUAUCAACUUCUACUAAAUCAUCGGCCGAUGUAAACCCCUGGCCUAACUUUCCAUCAUCGGCGAACCUAUCCAUUAAAACUCUUCUUCAGAACUGACUGCUUGGAUCGGUGGAAUUUUAUGAUCGGCAACCUUGAGAAAAUCCUUCUCCCAAACUUCUCCUGAAAUUCAUAUGGUCCUUUCAUAAGUAUCUGAUUCUGCCGAUGCAAUGACGUAUGAAGAAUCUCCUAGGACAAUUUCAAUCUUGUCACCUAGCCACUGAACCAAGCAUUGGUGCAUUGUAGAUGGAAUGCAACAAUUGGCAUGAAUCCAAUCUCUUCCCAACAGCAAAUAAUAAGCACCCUUUCCACUGAUGACAAAAAAGUUGUCGGCAAGGUCUUGCUGCCGAUGGUCAACUCAACACAUAUGGCUCCCUUGACUGGAGACACAUUUCCUUCAAAAUCCUUUAACAUCAUAUCGGUUUUGGUCAAAUCCUGAUCCCCUUUGCCAAGUUUCUGACAGACUGUAUAUGGCAUGAUAUUGAUAGCAGCCCCACCAUCAAUAAGUAUCUUGGUCAUCGGUUGUCCAUCAACCCUGCCUUUAAUGAACAAAGCUUUGAGAUGCUGCCAUUCAUCACAAGAGGGUUUCUCAAACAUAGCUGUCAUUGGGUCAAGGGCCAACCGAGCUAUCUGACCAGUGAAAUCUGCCUCUUCAUAAUCACUAAGGAGUGUAAGAAAUUCCAUCGGCAACAUAAAUACCAUGUUAACAUCUGCUGAUGGCCCUUUUCCCUUGUGAUCCGGCUGCUGCCGAUCUCCAGACUUGGCAGAAUUUCCUUCCCUGCUCAGUUCUUCCUGUCGUUCUCGCUGCAUCCUCCUCUUCUAUGUUCUUGUCAACCCUUCUAGACACCAUGGAGGAAGUUGCGUUCGCCUUACCGGUUGAUGUCGAGCCUCGCUUGAUUCCAUCCGGUAAGUAUUAGCAUCCCUACAAAAUAUGAACUCAUCUGGAACUCGUGCAUCUGCCAUCUCCUCAAGUUCCUCUUGAUUUCUGGGAAAAUAACCAAUACGUUCACCAAGUCUGUCAUGCACACUGAGCCUACCCCUCAGUCGAUCGUGGACUGAUGUCCUUCCUCUAAUCGGCCCAUUGAAUCGUCGAUCAUUGUUUUGAUAGUAUCGAUCCGAUCGAUCAUGCCGAUCAUAACCAUUGCAUUUAGGGCAAUCUCUGACAGUUGGUAAUUUGAUAUUCUGCUCCCAACAGUGGAUGAAAAAUGGGCAAUUCCAAUGAUCCUUAUGCCGAUUCCACUCUCGUUGGCGCCUUUCUUCCUCUCGGCGAUGAUGUUCCUGCUGGCGAUGAUACCGGUCUUCACGCUGUUGCCAUGUUUCCCGAUGCCUCCUAUGAGUAAUCACAAUACCUGAUCGAGGAGGUCUUCUAGAACUGGUGCCUUCUUGGAUCAAGCCCUUGCCUUUGGCGUCAUCGGCAGUAAUCUGAUGCUGAGGAUCUACGAUGCGCUCUUCUCAGCUACUUCCGAAGUUAAAACUUUAGUCUUUCCCUUAACAUCCAGCAUAUUCAUGGGGAAAGAAUGUUGAUGAAUCUUCAUCGGCUUCUGGGCUUUGGAGCUAUCAAAUUUAAUCCUCCCAGACUCUAUAGCUGAUUGCAGGUGUUAUCGGAACACUUUGCAUUCAUUUGUACUAUGAGACGUUGCAUUAUGCCAUUUGCAAUACUUGAUCUUUUUUAACUCUUCUGCCGAUGGAAUCACAUGGUUGGGUGACAAUUUAAUCUGCCCCUCCUGAAGCAGAAAGUCAAAUAUCCUAUCGGCUUUUUAUUUUUCACCCAUUCUGCCAAGCCGAUGACUAGUUCUUCAUCAGAAUCUGAACUCGUUGCUUCAUCAACAAAUGACACUUUUUUGUUCCAAGUUCUCCUAGGCUCAAAAGCUUUGAUGUCUUGAUCAGAAAUCCUUUGCACCAAAUGACUUAGACUUUCAAAUUCUUGAGACGCAUACUUGUCCUUGAUAUGUGGCAACAACCCCUGGAAAGCCAAAUCGUCUAGCUGUCGAUCGUCUAGAACCAGACUGUAGCACUUCUUCUUGACAUCCCGCAACCUUUGUACAAAACUCUCAACUGAUUCAUCAUUGCGUUGCCUUAUGUGACAGAACUGCCCAAUUUAUACAAGCUUAAGUAUGACUGUCCCCGUUUAACACGUUGACACGCGCAUACUCUCACUUAUAUGAACCCGGUAGUCUGCCGAGUGUCACAAUGGACCUCGGUAAAUCAACUUUACACCAAGCUCGCAUGAUUAAGCAAAUACACAUCACAUACCCAGAGAUUUGCAGCGGAAAUAAUAUUACAAAAGAGUUCACAAAUAAUAAUACAAGUUUGGAUUUUUCCAAAUCGAUUAGAAAACAACAUAGCUUUCAAAUGAUUACAAUAACAUAAGUUCCAAAUACAUUGCUAGCAUAAGUGACAUCCUCCGACAAAAGCAUGUAGAUGAGAACACUUUACAGAAUCACCGAGCCCACCGGCGGUUAGCCACCGUCUUUAGCAAGCUGAAGACUUCACCUGCAACAUGGUGGGAUAAACCCUGAGUACUCGAAUGUACUCAGCUAGACUUACCCGACAGGAGAGAAAUAAAAGACUCUCAAGGAUAUGCAAGGCUUUUUGGUGAGUUGGUUGGAUAGCAUAACUUUUGCCAAAAGAGCAUUACUAUCAUGAGUCCUUACUUUCAACCUUUUAGUCAAUAUUUUAGCAUCAAGUUCAAUUAAGCUACCAUAGCUAGAUUUUGCACCUAUUCUAUAGCAACCACUUGAUUAUUAAGCAUCACACUAAUAACCAUAUCCGGUUUAUCAUGUAGCCAUCAUCAUCAUCAUAACCAUCAAGUUUCAUUUAGUUUAUCUACGUUGCCGCUGCCCGAGUCAAGUUCUCACUAUCCGGGAGAGACGGCGAUUCGAAUCGAUUCCUAUCCAGCUGGAGGGGUAUUCCUAGCACUCACCUAGGCAUACUUAGCUAGAGUAGCUUGGAUCACCUUUAGCACAACUCCGGACCAAUUCGCGGGUCCGUCCAGCACCGCACCCCUAGGGACCGCUAAUCUGCCAGGGCAGGACUCUAACCUGACACCUGGGCUUACGCCAUUGACUCCCCGCACAUCCUUACUACCAACCGGGGUGCACACUCAUACAGAACGGGGUAUCCGGCCUGAGUUGCACUCGUAGGCUUCGCGGUCGGAACGACUUAUCCGGCCAACUAAGUGAUAGGCAUGCGUUCAACAUGACACGGGGACGUACAGCGAUUCGGUCCUUCAACGACACAGACGGGGAUAGAUUCACACCCAAGACCUCCAUGCCUUGUUGCUGCACUAUCGUCAUCCCGUCCGGUCUCAAAUUCAUUAUUAACACCAUGGUUAUUUCCACGAUAGCAAAUAUAGCCAACCGUGAUCAGGUAUCCACCUAUCUCUCGCAGGUGACAGGAAAUCACCCGGCUUCUACCGAGCUAAGCAUAGAACGUUUUUCUUAUACUAGUAAGGGUUCAGGUAGUUUCAUAUAGUGGACAAGGUAGGAAUAUAUGCACCAACGGUUUCAUUCAGCUCCUAUCACCUAAUGCAUCAUAUAAAGUUAUACUCUUGUGCUUUUAUAAAAAGAGAGGGUAGGAGACUUAGAAUGCUCCGGGGCUUGUCUGGAAUCCGACACAAGUCAGUUAGUUAGCUUGCUUCAUCUUGACGACAUCCAAGUUCGCAACACUUGUGUAGUCCUUCCAUCGCCCAGAUAGGUCCACCAUAAAGUCCUUCACGUGGUUCAUCUAGCGUACCUAAAUGAGAUGCAAGAUGCAAGUGCAUGAACAUAUAGAAGUGCAAUAGACAAAGCAUCACACACAAAAAGCAUGGCAAGAGCAUGGUUACACUAAACAUACUUAAGCACAUCUCAUUGCUCAACUUAAUGAUUACAUUACCACAUGCUAAGUCAACAAGGAAUGCAACACUAAACAUAUUAGAUAUGGCAUACAUUUUUCACAAGGUCUCAGGUAUAUUAACUUAGCCCUUACCAAAGACAUGAGUCAUACAUAGCAAUAUACCAAGCAACAACAAUACAAGGAAUCUGUCAUUUUUAGGACUGUUAACAGCAGCUGAGAAAAUAAAUCAUAACUGGAGUUACACAACUCCAAAAGACAUGAAUUAAGACAUUCUAGAAAGCUUAAGAAAUUAUCUACAUUUGAUAUUUAGACAUAAAAGCAUGAUUCUCAACUUAAGCUGGUAGAAAUUAUAAAUUUCCAGAAUCUGUCCCUGUCAAACAGAGAGCAGCCUUUUCUGGAAUCAAACUUUAAACAGACAUAACUCACAAACCACAUAACCAAAUACUUCCACAUUUUGAGAGCAGCUAGAUAAAUGAAUUAUCUACAACUUUGCUAUAAACAAGAUUCCCAGAAAACAUCAUUUACAUAUUGUAAUCCAAACAGUUCCACAAACUGUCCAGAAACAAAAAUUGCAAACAAUUAAUUAUUAACUUAUGUUUCAAACAUGCAUUUGAGCAAAACCAUUGUUACCAACAGUUUACAUAUAUCUAAAGAACACCAGAAAACAUAGUGGUCAUUUCCAAAUAAAUUUAUUUAAUGCAUUUCUUAAUUUAUUUGGAUAAUAAGGUGAAUUGAAGAACAUAUACCAAACAUGCACAGUAAAUUCUACAAAAAUUAUAGUAGCCUCUGAAUACUAUGAAUAGACUGUUGUAUAAAUUUCACAGUAUUUGAAUAAGCAUAGCAACACCUAUGAAAAAGACAAAUUGCUAUUGCAAUUAACCAUGUGAGAGCAAGAUAAAUGCACAAAUCAUAUUUUCUUCAAACACAUGGCCAUAUCAUACAUAAACAUGAUACAAUAAUAUCAUAGGAUUGUAUUGGAACAACGUUUUCCAUUUUUACAUUUUUAUCUAUAAUUAUAAACCAUUUAUCAAGAUCCAUAAAGACAUCUCUGUCCAAAACAUGGACAGAAUCUAUCAUGUCAUAUUAAACAGCCAUAACUUGAGUUUCAUAUGCCCAUAAAUUAUGGUUAUGUGCUUUCUAGAAAGCUUGCUAAAUUGUGAACAACUUUUUUAUAAACAUCUAGAGCUAAAUCUACAACUAUCAAGGUCUUACAUAACAAACAAUGCAUCCCUGUCUGGGUUUAGACAGAAACUGAAAUAGUACUUUAAACCACUAUAACUAAAGAUUUGCUUAACCAAAAAUUAUGCUAUUUAGCUUGAUGGAAAUAUUAUGAAAAGUACUAUAACUCAUAUAUUUUCGUCCAGGCAUGAUUCACAACCUAACUGAGUCAAACAAUAUAAACAUGCAGAUCCCCUCAGAAUAGGAGCAAAGCAACACAGGGCAUUUGUUAUUUUUAUAACUCCUAAUCUGUCAUUCCUAAAUUCAUGAAAAUUUUACCAGACAUGAAACAUCAUAUGAAAAGCUUGUCACAAUAUUUUCACAUUUAUUUGAGCAAUAAUACAGCGGUUAUGAAAAAGACAAAUAUAAUAAGCAAUUAAAACCGAACUGCAUAAAUCUAAUUUUACUGCUAAAACUGCAAACUAAACCAUGCCAUAUUAUAGAUCUAAUGCAUAGAGAAUUUCACAAGGAUUCCAAAAAGUCCAUAUUUGCUAUUUUACGACUUUUCUACGAAUUUCUAUGCAUUUCCAAAGUUCAUCCAUGAAAUCUGCAAAAACAAAAUAAAAGGAAAACAGAUCUUGCACCGGGAACCCUGGACUUUCCACGAAUCACGUAAUAGCCCACAAAUACUAUUCAUAUGAGUCUAUGACAGUGCAGAAAACCCCCUGUGUUCAGUCGAAUUUAUACUCGAGGUCCCUGGUCGCGAGGAAAACAGGGGACCUCGCCGGAGGUUCCUGUUCCGGCCGGCUGAGGCCUCGUCGGCGGCGAUGGAGGGGUGGGGAAGCAUCAGGGCAUUGAGCCGCACCCAUUGGUGGCCACGGAUUGGCCAAAGAUGGCCCGUGGCGGUCCGGCCACGCACGCACACCGACGGCGGCGACGGCGGUGGCACGCUGGCGACCACGGCGACGGAUUCGGACGGCGAGCGCGAGCACGAGAUGUAGGAGAUUGAGGCGAAGCUAUUGGUGGUGUUUGCGGGCAGUGAGAAUGGGCAGAGUGGCAAGAACGUCGUAGGGGCCGGAGCUUCGCGACGGCCAUGGCGGAUGCGGCUGCGUUUGCGAGCUCAGAGCGAGGGCGAGGCGAGGGAGUGGCAGAGGGAGUGUGGGCGAGUGUGGAGAGGGUGCUCGGGGCUCACGCCCAUCCACAUCGACCGCGGACACGCGGAGGGCAUGCGGCAAGACGAGGAGGUGCGAGCUCUGCAUGGCUGUCCACACGUCCUCCCAUUCACGCAUUUUGCCGAACAGCUGGCAGGUGAUGGUGUGGCCAGUGUGGAACGUGUUUUUGGGCUGGAUCUGGACCGAAUUUGGACAUGGACCAAAAAUGAAGUUUGUUGUCCUCGUGCUGCUCUACAUUUUUCGUUUAAGUGUCAUGGUCAUUAGGAUUACAGAUUAAUAGAUAAUUUGAUGCCAAUCUAUGAGUGUCAACGAAUUGAUAGUGAUUAGCAAAACUCAAAAUUGAUGACCAAAACGAAGUCAAACUGGUGUCAUCUUUUGGCAUGCUCUAGCCCACAAUAUGUACUCCAACUUUUAUUUUGGGACUCAAGUAAGUUGUUUAGUAAAAUUUGGAGAACGCGGGAUGCCAAUGUGAUGAACUGCAAUCCUACACUUAGAAACUCUAAGUGCUGGAAAUUAUAGCAGAUUCAAUUUUGUGACUAUUAUUUGACAUGCUUAGAAGAUGAUUCAGACUUAGUAACUUUAACAAACAUUGUAGUAUGCAAACUAUACUACAACCUUCACAAAAGGACCUUCUACUGUUUUGGCCUGGUUAGUAAGAUACAGGGCCCCCAACUAGGGUACCCGAAACUGAGCACCUCAGGACUUAGCCAAAAAUUCUGGAGUUCCAAAACAGCACUGCAUUGAAUCUUGUCAGCUCAAUUUGACUAGUUUAGGUACCAAACUAGUUCUUGACCUUUAAACAAAGUUUGUUCUACAGAAUCUAAACUACAACUUUGCUUUAAAGUCAAACCUCAGAACUAGUACAGAAGUCAAACUUUCACUUUGGUCAAAGCAGCAACUUGAUAAAGCUAGAAUUAAGGUUUUAGGCCAAUUGAAGCAUUUUCUAGGCACAAGCUCAACAUGUACCCUUCCUGACUUUUGUUGUAGAGUUCAUCUAGAGUCAUUUAGGCAAGGUUGCAAGGAUUGGUUGAUGACCUAUGGUUCUAUUCACUUAAUGAGGUCAUUCCAACAAGCAUGUAACUUAUCAUUUCAUGUGACCUUUUGAUUCCAAACUUCUUGAAACUUUUUGAGUGAUCACUAUAGGCAGUGAUGGUGGUGGGACACAUGAGAGAGGUUCUAUUAAUGUCACCCAAGCAUGCACUUUAAAAGGGCCUAUAUGUAAGCAAGGGUGCAUUCUCCAAGUUUAACUUGAGGCUCACUUCAUGGAUUGACUUUAACAUGAUCAUCACCACUUAUCAUGACAUGUUUGAGCUCAAAAGCUAAGGUCUAAUUCGUGGCAAACACCUGGGGUGUUACACCUUAGCCUGACUAAAUUGGUAAUAUUCUUCUCAUGAACUCCAGAAAAGAAGUACUUAUGAAAUUGCUUCUCUAGAUCGGCCCAAGUAAUUACUGAGUUUGGAGGUAAUGAAAUAAACCAAGUGAAGGCCGAUCCAGAUAAAGAUGAUGAGGAUAAACGAACUGUUAACUCAUCUCUGUUAGCAGCUUCCCCACACUGGAUGAUGAACCUGUUAACAUGUUCCAUGGUUGACGUGUCAUCCUGUCCAGAGAAUUUGGUGAAAUCCGGCACCUUGUACCGAUUUGGAAGCGGAAUUAAGUCAUAUGCAGGAGGAUACGUUGUCCGAUAAGAAUAAGCGUUGACUUUGGGUUUUAUCCCAAACUGAUCUCUCAUCACCUCAGCUAUCUUAUCGGCCCAAUAGCCUUCGGCAUCUUGCCGAUGAGCGGGUUGUGGAUCUGGCACCUGCUGAUAAGCUUCCAUGUGUCUUUGAGGUGGACGAUCUCUAGGGAACAUAGCAUUAUCCACCGCCUAUUGGCCACCAACUUGCUGAGCAAGAUUCAUCGGCUGAUUGGCCAAUCCUUGAUUCUGAAAGCCAAACUGCAUCGGUCCCUGCUGGAAUCCCGUAGCCUGAUGAUUCUACUGGGUCAUUUGUGGAAAGUCAAACUGCCCUGUCCAUCCAUUGAUAGCAUUCAUCGGAGUAGGCCCUGCAGAUGGCUGAUAGUUGGGCAUCAUCAUUGGAUUGACAUACCCUGUCUGUGUCAUAAACCUUUGAUGCGUCGGCAGUGGAUCCGCCGAUGCGUUAGGCAUCUGGAAUGUCGGCAUCUGAGAAUUCCCAGUGAAAGGUCUUGCAGUAGUAGUUGUAGAAUACUGAGGAUUUUGAGUCAUCGGUGAUAUUGGGGGUGCCGAUGUCAUAGGAGCCUUGCCUGUCAUGUCAGCCACUUGAGAUGUCCCAGAACUAUUUGCACCAAAGUUCGGGGCAUACCAUAUCCCCACCAGUUGGGAGGAACUUGACAAUUUUUAAAUACAGAUCCUGACAUUGCCGAUGCCAAUGGUGUGUUGCAAGUUGAACUUGUCCCUCUGAUGUUGCUGGAUUAGUCCUCAUCGGUGUAGAUUGCCCAUUAGUCAUCCCAAAUGUGCUUGGAGGAGAAGUAACUUCUGUACCCGCAACGGCUAGAGUAGCCAAUGGAGCUGUAACUGAUGAUGAUCCUGGCUGAUGAUAGGCCAGGCCCACAUAAGAUGGUGGUACCUAUCCCUCUUUGAAGGUUCUAGCCACAACAUUGGAAACUGUAUUGGACAACACACUGAUUGAUUGAUUAAAGCGCGAUUAUAGCAUUGUCAACCAUCUCUUGUAGUUUACCAGGAUUAGCUUCAAUAGUGACUUGCCGAGGCAUCAACAAUGCUUCCUUUUGGAUCACCUCGCCGCUCCUGUUGACAUUGAAGGAUUUCAAACAUAGCUGCUUGUAUUCCUCCACAGCUUUUGCCAUAGCUUGCUUCUGCUCAUCUCUGAGAUUGGCUUCCGUCACAGGAAUGAAGUUAUCCGUAUCGAAAUCAGUGUUCGACAUAUUGAUCUUGACGAUGAAACUGAAUCUAUCCCACUGGGCGUGCCAAAAGAUGUGUUGAUGCAAAAGUGGAUCUGCAAACACAAAGGGCUAAUACCCGAUUCAAUGUAAGGCGUGCCAGCCGAUUUGACCUCACAACCGACAAAGGUGAUAACUCGAAUACUUUGGUCCCGACAACAGCGAUGCGCCCGGAUGCCACGGCCAAGAGGUAUUCACGUGGAACUUGAGAACUCGCUGAGUUUGACUCGAUGAAUUCCUAAGAACUCGUACGUAAAAAGAAAAUAUGCAAGGUGACGAAGUCGUCGAAAAGUAGAUGCUAGAAUAGAUGUAAAAACUUGUGUUUGAUUGAUUGUGUAUGUUUCUUACAUUGCUAUGGGGUCUACUUUUAUACCCUUUCCAAAAGAGUUACAACCAGACACGACUAGGACUCUAAUUCCAAAUCGAACGGAAUACGUAUGGCCAACAAACUCUAAUAACUAUGGAAAACAUUAAUCUAUCCACCAUAUGCGAUCGGCACACCGUCACGAUUGUUGUUGACGGUCCUUAAGUACUAAAAUUAAUAAUCAAAUAAACAUGGAAAAGGAUCAAUAUGAAACAAACAUCUAGAAUUAGGAUUUUAUCUGACAGAAUUCCACAAGCUUUGGUGUUUAUCUACUAAGUGAGAAAUCAUAACAAGGCACCUCUACUUUGGCAGGUUCACCCUGUUGUUUUUAUAUGUUUUUAUUUUUAUACAGGGUAUAUCAGGAUUGAGUUUGGGUACAUUCAACUCUUCAUCAUCAGAACCAAAGCAAUCAAGAGAAGAAGCUAGCUACCAAUUGCUGAAGCUAUGGCACAAAAGACCCUACAAGAAUUCUCUGCUCCAAGUCUUGAGAACAUUCCAACUGGUCCAAGAUUUACAGUAGAAGAAGGAGUACCCGAGUUUGAGCUCAAGUCAAGCCUCAUCAAUUUGGUACAAGCUACACAAUUCAGUGGAAAGGCACAUGAAGAUGCUAGUGCACACUUGCAGAAUUUCUUAGAGAUUGGAAGCACAAUCCACAUCAAUGGAGUCGACAAAGACGUCAUACUGCUUCGCCUUUUUCCAUUCUCACUAGAAGGGAAAGCGAGGAAGUGGUUCUACACUCAUCAAGAUAACAUCAACAACUGGACGAACUUGUCAGAUGCCUUUCUAUCAAAGUUUUUCCCUAUAGGCAAAACAACUGCCUUAAGAGGAAAUAUUGUCAGUUUCCAACAACAAAAGACAGAAGCCAUUUCAGAAGCAUGGGAGCGUUUUCAAGGAUACACAUCAGAUUGUCCUCACCAUGGAAUGGCCACAUGGUUACUUAUGCAGACCUUCUACCAUGGAUUAACCCAGAAGGCUCGUGAGUGCCUAGAUGCAUCUGCUAAAGGAUCAUUCUUGGAGCUUACAACUGGAAAAGCAGAGAUACUUUUGGAUAAGAUAGCAAAAACCAAAGCUGGUUCAAAGAUAAAGCUUAACAAUGUCAUCAAACUAAAGAAAUACCAGAUGAAGUAAAUGCAUUAUCAACUAAGAUGGAAAAUUUGCUCCAUUGGAUUGACCAGAGGGCCAAGAUCAAAGAAGAUCAAAGGGCCAAUGAGACAGCAUACAAAUAUCAACCAACUCCAAGUCAACCCAAUAGCAAAGGUAUGAAUUCAGGUAAUACUUUCAAGCAACUUUCAUUAAAAGAGAUAAUUGCUCAACAAACCAAAAUUAAUGAUGAAGUUAAACAAAGGCUAGAUACAAAUGAAUCAAUCUCUAAAAGUUAUACACAAUAAAAUGGAUUUUCUAAUAACUGCCUUUGAUGAGCAAAAGACUCUUAAUAAAAGGGUAGAGCUUAAAUUAAUAAAGUUAGCUACUGCAUUGCCUGUUGCUACUAACAUUGAGGAGGUAAAGAAUAUAACCACUAGAGGAGGCAAAGCCACUAGAGAUCCCCCAUACCCAAAAGAGAAACAAAGAACAUCAGCACCAGUGCAACCAGCAGUGAUAGAAGAAGAAAGCCCAGUUGAAGCAGAAGAUCUGCUGCAACCACCAUGAACUGGAGAAAUGAGGAAAGAUUUUUAUGACACCAACUAUUUGCCAUUUCCCAGAAGAAACAGAGAACUGCAGUCGGAUGAGCAGUUUGGUAAGUUUGUACAGGUCAUUCAAAAAUUAUAUGUCAACAUACCUCUGCUGGAUGCCAUACAGGUACCUACAUAUGCAAAGUACAUCAGAGAUAUUCUUAACAAGAAGAGACCACUGCCCACCACUGAGGUUAUCAAGCUGACAGAAGAAUGUAGUGCGGCCAUCCUCAAUAUACCACCAAAGAAGAAGGAAGAUCCCGGAUGUCCCACUAUUGAUUGCUCAAUCGGAAACCAACACUUCAACAAUGCACUUUGUGAUCUCGGAGCAAGUGUCAGUGUGAUGCCAGCAUCAGUCUACAAAAAACUUGAGCAUACAACCCUAGAACCAACAUCAAUGUGCCUACAACUAGUGGAUCAAUCAGUUCGACACCCGUUGGGUAUCCCCGAGAACAUUCCAGUCAAGAUCAGAGAUUUCCUGGUGCUAGUAGACUUCGUGGUAUUGGACAUGAGUCCUGACUCAAAAGUAUCCAUCAUCCUUGGAAGGCCAUUUCUGAGCACCGCCAAUGCCCACAUUGAUGUUCAACAUAAACGGAAAAGAAGAACACUUCACAUUCAAACCUAGACCAGAGAGAGACUCUACAGUGAAGGAAGUUCAUGAAGAACCACUGGAGACACCAUCUCCGGAGGAAGGUAAUUCAGAAGAUUAAAAGAUUUGGAGGUCCAGCUUGGGGGACCUAAAAAUCCCAAACCCUCACCGGGAGGUAAAUCGGUAUUUAUCCGCAUUAUUAAUUUUCUCAUAUUUAAAUUCUUGCAUAAUUAAUUCUUGCAUUAGUCAAAAUUAGUCAUAGCAUUAUUAUAAUAAUAAAAAGCCCCAUAUAAAUAAUAUUCAUGGUGUGUGACAACCCAUAUUUAUUAAUUAUUGUGGAGGCACAAAAAUAUUUUCCAUUAUCAUUUUAAUUAAGUUUUAAUUCUCAUAGAUUUUUCUGCAUAAUAUUUAAUUAUAGUAACCUUCUAGAAGCAUGACCCACACUCCUUGGGUCCCACAUGUCAUACACCACACCUCACAUACAUCCCAUCACAUUAUUACAUCCACCAACAUAUCUCCACUAACAACACUUUUCCACCGGCCAACCACCACCCAUGACACAUUAUCUUGCGUGAGAAUUGAGAAGAGAAGGGAGUGGAGAAAGGGCAGCCAGGAUGGGCAUCACAAGUGGGCGCCCGCCCACCUACCAAGGGCGCCUGCCCUGCUCCCUCUUCCUCCUAUAAAUAGCCACCUUCUACUCCAUCCUCUCCACAAAAGCACCCCAGAAAACCACACAAGUAUCAGUUUCCAGAAGGAGUUCUUGUAGUGAAGAGAGAAGAGAGUAGAAAGAAAGAGAAGAGUUGGAAAGAAGCUGGUAGUUUUGGUGAGAAAGUGAGUACACCUAGUAAGUAGUGAUCCCGCUAUCUAAGCGGAAGUAAAAAGUUGUUUAGGGGGAGGUUCUACCAAAAGAAACUUGUCUUGAACGACUACUGACAUUCCGGACAGCUGACCACUGACAUUUUCUCUCACAUUUUCCACUAGUUGUGUUUUUGCCAACUUUUGUUUACAGGAUGUUUAAGAAGGUGAAGAAUGCAGUGAAGGCUCUCAAGAACAUUGGUACAAGGAGUUCAUCCCGACACUCCUCACACCCAUCAGAGAUGAGCGUCGACCCGACACCCACACAAGCUCCGUCAUCUUCAUCCGGUCAACAAGUCAAGGUCCUUCUCAAGAUAGGAGACCUUGGACUGAAGACCCGAAGAGAGAAGAAAGUCUAUCAGCAAUUGAAGAACAAAGAUUUCAUUCACACCCCUACUCUUGAUCCAAUCUUACUACAAGAAACAGGUAUGGACACUGAAUUUGACUUAAUUUUCCAAAUGAUAGGUUGGACAAAUUUAUGGAAUAUAACUGAGUUGGGUUCUCGUCUUCUCACCCUCGAAUUUCUUUGCACUUUACAAUAUUAUGAGGGGGGAAUUGUUUUCAGAUCUUCAAACAAGAGAUAAUGUUGUCUUGGAGAGAACUAAGCGACCAUCUUGGUUUCUCUUCAAGAUGCAUCCUGAACAUUGACUCCGAUUUACCGAAUUUUGAGAGACACCAGUUUUGGAGAGAAAUAUCUAGAGAUAAUUUUUAUAGUCAAGCCCGAACCAGUGACCUGGAACACUCCACUCUCAGGAUGUUCCACAAAUGGCUUGGGUACAAUCUUUUCUAUCGUGAUGAUAUUAGGAAAGUAAGAGUAGGAGAUUUGCAACUUUUAUAUGCUGCUAUUAAUAAAGUACCCACUUCACCUGUUACACUUUUAGUUUCUCAUUGGCCUAGUGUACCUAGUCUUCAGGGACCAGUAGGAUGUACUUCACUUAUCACUCGUCUAGCCUUUAAUCUUCAUUUACUAGAAAACUCGUCGUUGGACUUCAUAGAUGAGUUAAGAAUUUAUCAUGGCUAUGACACAUUUAGACAGGCUCAGAUGUUAAAGAAAGAGGGGAAUGUAAUGUAUAUGCUAUAUGAUGAUAAAGGCAAGAUUCGGUUACCUAACCCGAACCUUGGCCUAUACGUUGUUCAAAAUUUUUUGAUUGAGAUUGCAGCAACACCAGUGAACCAGAGAGCUCCACAGCGAGUGGCAUCUGAAAGGAUGACCACCCAUCGAGAACGCACCUGGUAUGGAGCUGAUCCUGGACCAGAAGAAGCAGCGCACCUGCAUUAUAGUGACUACAACCCUCGAGUUCUUCGAGACCCAUGGGUUCGACAUGCGCAACCACAGGGGCCAACAGAAGAGACAUGGCCGGAGAGCCAAGAUCACCAGUGGACAAACCCGCCUUUUCAUACGGGCAGGUACUCCACUGAUCCAUAUGGAGCUUUAGGAUCCUAACCUCCACCCCAAUUUGAUGCAGGGCGAUACUCCGACGCCUCCUACGCUUUCACAAAUGACUACUACCAAGAGGCCGGUGCUUUCUUCACUCGUACCGACAACACUCUCCUCGACAUCCAGAACACGCAAGCAGAACAUGAAAGACUCCUGGAAGAGCAACAAAAAUGGAACCAGGACCAUGCCACUGUAGUAGAAGAGCUGAGACAAGAUACAACAACAAUGAACGACAACAUCACAACCAUGAUGCGGUUCUGGAACAUCGGAUAAGACCGACAUCAACAUCCAGCUUGGGGGAGUUCCUCCCUAAUUUAUCAAGUAAGUUUUUAUUUGCUUUUCUUAUUUAUUCCUUUCUAUUUUAUUUUUUUAUCUUAAAAGGAAAAACUUAGAAAACCCAAUAAAUAUUUUCUUGCUUUAAUUUACUGCAUUUUAUAAACAUGAAAACAAAAUAAAAAAGAGUGUGUAGAUAAGUGUGAUUUAUUUUCUUGCUAAGUUUAAUCUCUAGAAAAAUAAAAAGACCAAAAAGAUGCAUAAUGGAAAUGAUGAGCAGUUGCUCUGUUUGCUUACUUUCAAGUACCUAGCUUUUAUAUUAGAGUUCUUCCAGGAAUUACUAAAACUAAAAUUACUAUCUUUAAAGCAUAAAACUAAAGUCUAGGUAAGAGAAAGGCAUGAUAUAAAGUUGAGCUGCUGUUUAUCUUGUUCCUACUACACUAAGUCUGGAGAUUUAUUUUGAAAACUUACAAAGCACAUGAUGAGUUUCUAGCAUUACAAACUACCUACCACAGCCAUACUUGCUAUAACAUCUUUUACUAUAUUUACAUUGAGUUUGAUCGAGCUGUGUACACCCUUAGGAGCUUUUCAUGUGGUUAAAUUAAGAUAUUCACUUGCACACAUCUACUACACCAUCCAUCACUAUUCAUUAAAAUGGCAAAAAAUAUUAUCACUCACUGUCCCAAAUAUUGUUAUUUUCUCUCUCUAAAAAGAUUCAAUGUAGAAGAGGCAUGGGUUAUGCAAAAAUAUGCGAGGAAAUAAAAAGGGGCAAGUGCCCGGAACCUCGAAAAAGAAAGAAAAAGAGUGAGACGAGAGGUAAAAAUGGACAAGUGUCCGGAGUAGAAUUAGGGGUACAAAGAUGCCCACUUGAGCGGAAAAAAUGGACAAGUGUCCGAUAGUAGAAUUAGGGGUAUCUACUACCCACCUGAAAAAAAUAGAGAAAAAGAUAGCCCAUGUUCUCCCAAAGCAAAGAUCAAAGAAGAGGAGAGAUAGCAAUAUGAGGAGCAAUAAGAAGUAAGCUUUAUCAUUACCAUCACUAUCAUUUACUCCACCACACAUGCACAUCUUGAUUUAAUUAUAUGCUGAGUUCCUUUGGAUCCAUGGCUCGAUUAGACAACAUAUGUAUGAGUUGUUUUUUUCACUCAUAUGAACUCCACUUAAAUAUUCCAUUAGCUAUAGGUAAGUGACAUUUUGGUAAGGAUCCACAAAUACCACAUAUAGAGAGACUUGAGAGAAUCAUUGCUGGGAACUCUGAGUUUUAUUUUGAAAAACUUAUGUAAAACUCUGGAAUAAAGGUGAAGUAUAGACCGGAGGAAUAGUGAUUGACUUAACUAUUUUGUCUUUCAAUUACUUAAGACUUAAGUGCAAGUACUAAGCUCCAUAACACUUCACUCUAAUCUGGAAGAAUUUUUAUAUGAAAGCAUGUGUGCCUGUCAGGAAAGAAAACAUCGAAGCAACCCCUGAUCCGUCUGAGUUUAGUUAUUUGCUCAGGGACGAGCAAAGGUUAAGCUUGGGGGAGUUUGUUGACGGUCCUUAAGUACUAAAAUUAAUAAUCAAAUAAACAUGGAAAAGGAUCAAUAUGAAACAAACAUCUAGAAUUAGGGUUUUAUCUGACAGAAUUCCACGAGCUUUGGUGUUUAUCUAUUUCUGCAGGGGGUUAUCAGAGAAUAUGGAGAGAAGGCCCACAUGUCAUGUUUACAACGAGAUAAUUACGUGCUGCGCAAUUUUCUUCAAUCUAGAAGACUCCAGAAGUCACGAGACCGAAGCGGAGGCGAAACGGGGCCAGAGGCAGGGCGCCCGCCCUCCUGCCCUGGGCGCCCGCCCCCUUUGUGAGUCCAAUCAGGACUCUGUUUCGUGGGAGAUCUCCACCGACCUAAAGGAUCAAUCUAAACCAUACAAUCAAUGUCGGUUUGAUCUGACGGCCCAAAUUCACUUGAAAGGACUAUAUAACCAAGGCCUCUCCACCCCUGGGGAGAGAGGAGAAGAGAAGAAAUCAUUAUUCAGAGGUAGCCAUCAAAGUUAGGGUUUAGAGCUUCUCUCCCACAGAGAAUUAGAAUUAGCUACUCCCUAAUCCUUCAAGUUUAGAGGUUUGAUUAGAUAGCAAUUAGAGAAGUAGAGCACUACGCUCUGGAUUCGGAUCUACGGUAAUAAAGAUUGGUAUUAUUCAUAUCUUUCUCUAAUUCUAUUGUUCUAAUUGCAUUAUGUCUCUAAUUAUUGUGUUCUUAUUUUGCUCUAGUUCUAUAUUUGAUAUAGUUAUGAUUGAUAAUGAGUUUUUGUAUAAGUUUGCAAAGCGCUUAGCUCUUGACGCGAGGGAGUUAGGUGAUAGAUCACAUGUGAGCCUGGUGCUUAGAUGUUAUUUAUCUGCAAAUGUAUCCUAUUCGCCGGGUCGUGUGGUAGUUUGCGAUAGUGACAGCUUCGUUGAUUCUUAUAUAGUCCACCCUCCGUUGAUAGGACAGGCAGAACCGGUAUUGUGGAGUAAGUCUUGCGAUGCUCUGAUUUACUUUAGCAAUGUUCCUUAUACAUGAAUGAAGAGUCUUUUAUGCUAUAUAUGAUCUUCUAGAUAACUAGAGUAGAUUAUGACUCAAUAGAUAGUAGAUAACUUAGAAUCCAUUCUCUAGCUAAUCCGACAUCACCUACAUAUAUGAGGAGUAGUCUAUUUUCUAAUCGCUGUGUUAUUUAUCCCUUGAACUUAUAAUUCAUUAUCAUUAUCUUUAUGGUUUACCCCCUGCUAAAGUAAGUGACUGUGUGACGAGUUUCUCAUUAGUAAUCAUGUUCUUGCAAAUUUAUCUCUAGUCUAUGCCUUGAUAUCUCCUUAGUUCUCUUGAGCAAAAUUAUAAAUAACGAUACCUGGAAUACUUAUCCUGGUGAAAUGCUACAAUGAGGUGUUUUAUCUGUGCGCUUGCGGAUAGAAUAGAUUAUUUUCUAGAGAGCCUUUACAUUUAUAAAUACCUUUGUACACUCUGGCACCAUGCUGGGGAUGACAACCUAGUAUCUAAGUGGUGUUAGCUAGUGUCAACAACGAUCCUAUUGACGAUUCCCAUGCCUUCUUCUGCUAUCAUCGACAAAUCACCUUCCAUCGGCAUCGGCAACCAUUAAUAUCGGCCAUCGGCACUGAUUAACCAUCAUCCCUAGACUUGGCCACAUUCUGUUGUUUCAUCAUCGGCAUCAUAACCCAUCGACAACUCCUCUAAUAACCAGUCACCACUCUUUCGUCUGCCGAUCUACAUUUCAUUAACUCCCGGAUACGUGUCCAAAGAUACAUGUCCAAAAACGGUGUCAACAUGGGGGAAAAGGCACUGCCGUUGUACCGCCUCCUAAAGAAAGCCGAGCACUUUACAUGGACCGUUGAAGCUGAAGGGGCCCUCGACAAACUCAAAAGGAUGCUGACCUCUGCUUAGUCUUGGUGCCCCCUCAACCUGUCGAGCCCCGCCUCCUCUAUGUUGCAGCAACAACUCAGGUGGUCAGCGCGGCCAUGGUAGUCGAUGUAACAGAACCGUCCAAUUUAUAAGAAUUCAAGUGAAUUAGGGACCAUGAAAGCAGUCGAGCCAAUGGACUCGAACCCAUAUAAACCCGGUAGUCCGAUGAAACCUCAAAAGAUCUCGAUUCAACCAACAUACAACCAAGACCGUACAUGAUCAAGCAUCUCCAUCACAGAUUACAUACAUUCAAAUAUAGAACAUAGUUUACAUCCAUUAGAGUUCGAGUAACUUUAUUACAACACAAGUCUUGAUAGUGGAAGCAAAGUAGUUUUGAAACAACACACACACACACACUUAGUUCGUUACAUGCCAGUUCGAUGAUCAACCCAACAAAAGCAUAAGCGAAGAUACAAGAGAUGAUCUUGCCAAGAUCUACUCAUCAUCUGCUGCCGGAUGGUGACAGUUAGCACAGUAACCGUGAUACACGAUGUCAUCUGCAACAAGGGUAAAUAAAACACUGAGUAUGAUAAUGUACUCAGCUAGACUUACCCGUCUUAAACCAGAAAUAAAGUGACACCAGGGAUUAUGCAAGGCUCAUAUAUGUGGGCUGGUUUGACUCACAUUUUGCAUAAAGGCUUUACUUUGAAGUUACACAAUUACCUUCCUUUUAGCAGCAAGUUAAUUACUUAAAAUAGCUAUUCACUAAAUUAGCACCUGUUCUAAGCAACCACUUGAUUAAUAAGCAUCACAAUAAUAACCAUAUUUAGAUUAUCACAUAGCUAUCAUUAUCCUCAACAUAACCAUCAAGUUCAUUUAGUGAGUUCUACGUUGCCACUGCUCAAGUCAAGUUCUCACUAUCCGGGAGAGACGGCGAUUUGAAUCGAUCCCUAUCUAGCUGGAGGGGUAUUCCUAGCACUCACUCAGGUGUACUUUGCAAGAGCGGCCUUAGGUCACCUUUAGCACAACUCAGGACAAAUUCGUGGGUCCGAUCAGCGCCGCACCCCUAGGGACGACAAUCUGCCAGGGUCAAUACUCUAACCAGGCACAAUGGUCUUAUGCCAUUGACUCCCCACACAUACUUACUACCAACCGGGGUGCACACUCAAAGAGAACGGGGUGCCUGGCCUGAGUUGACUCAUAGGCUUCACGGUCGGAACGACUUAUCUGGCCAACUAUGUGUCAGGCAUGCAUUCAACAUGACAAGAGGACGUACAGCGUAUCGGUCCUUAACCGACACAAACAGGGAUAGAUCCACACCCAAGACCUCCAUGCCUUGUUGCUUCACCAUUGCAUUCCCGCCCGAUCUCCAUUCAUCAUUAUCAUAUGGUUAUUCCAUGAUAGCACAUAUAGCCAACCGUGAUCAGAUAUCCACCUAUCUCUCGCAGGUGACAUGAAAUCACUCAACUUCUACUCAAGGAGAGGUAUACGGUGGACAAGGUAGUCUUAUGCAGCAAGGUUGUCAUAUCAACGCCUAACACUUAAUGCAUCAAUACAUAACCAUAGUUAUUUGACUACUGAGCAGGAUAACAAAACUAGUAGGAGGCUUAUAAUGCUUCGGGGCUUGCCUUCGAUUUAUGUAGAAGGACGGUGGUCAGGGCACUCCGGCAAGUCCUUCUCCUCGGCUCCUUCCUGUUGAGGUUGCUCCCUCUGCUGCUCCUCCAUCUCGGGCGGGGCGAACUCCAAGACCGUCACGCCUUUGGGUGCACCUAAGUAUGCAUGACAAGGUGAUAAACAUAGGGAAUGCACAUAGGAUGCAAUAUGUCAUGAUGAGGAGCCAAAGGAACAUGUAACAAGGUUCAAACAUGAUCUCAAGCUUCUAAGAUUGAGUAAACAAUAGAUUAAUAAUUAAGUGCAUACUUCUUCUCCGGUAGAGAGGCUAGCUACACAAACUAUUCAACCUACAUUACCCUUACUCAGUAAUUGGGUUGAGGGACAGACUGGUCCGUGAUCAACCAAGAAGGGAACAUAGGGGAGCUCCAGCUCCACAACCAGGGCUAGGAAUGUGUCAACAUACCUCUCUGACCUACCUCAAUCGAUGGUCAGCCAGUUAGGUCCGCGAUUGGCUGAGAAAGGGACACGAGGGGGUUUUGGCUCUGUGAGCAGAGCCAGGAACAAUCUAACACAUGAUUCUCACCAUCCUCAGCUGGUGAUCAUGAUGACUGGUCUUUGUCAGGCUAAGAGGGGGACUGUAUGUGCCUCGACCUCGCAACAUAGAGGCCUAGAGCCACCAUGCCUGGGAUCAAACUUGGUGUCACAAAGGCAAGCGACCACACCAUCCUCACUCCCUUACGAGUUGACGAAUGCUGCUUCGACCUAUGCCUCUUCUGCAAGUACUUCGCUAAGUGCUUACGCAGACCUUCCUGGCCAUCAUGCGAGGUCGACUCUUGACCACAAUGCUACAUCACCAGCAUCCACAUACGUCGACUCCAGAAAGGACAACGACGUGUUGGCUAGUGUAGGCUUCUCCAAGCUUGAUGAUCCAGAAACCCUCUGAUGCUUCCUCACAGUGAGCGACUACUGCUUCAGCUAUUCCGACUCCGACGAGGGUGACUACGACCACUCUCAAGAGUUCUUCAAUCUCGAGAUUAGGGAAGUAUCCCCUAAAGGAUAAGUGGAUGUUGGGCCAACUAAGCUGUGGAAUAGCACCCUUCACAAGGAGCACCCUCCGACCAGCACACACCACGAGCAACAGCGUCAGCCCUAGAAGGCUACUGCCAAGCUAAACUCGAGUAGCUAAAAGAGCUCGAGGCCAAGCUCAAAGAGGACCACAAGCGAUUGUAGGAACUACGUGUAACCCUUGAGCAUGAGCGAUCAGCUCAGGGGGAUGGAUGAGCAGCCCGACAUCACGCUCGUGACGUCAACUAACGUAUCAACAAGGAUGAAGGAGGGGAGCACCCCCCGCUAAGCUAGCCAGAAUGUGGUAGCUACGGCCUUGGUCCUAUGGAUGAUGCCCGAGCCAUUGACUCUGGAGGGGAAGAGGGUCCAUGACGAGCCCCGCGUGCUUCUAAAGUGCAGAGUGCUGCAAAACACAGAACGCUCCAUGUCCCCACACCACAACUUUAGAACUAAGCAGCCUAAGGAUCAUCCCCAAAAUGAGAGGGAAGCCUCGUUUCAACCUGAGCCCGUGAAUCCUUAAGGACCCGACAAGGGCUAGACUGUCCAUGAGCGUGUCAGGAGCAACAUCGACGCACGAGCCUUCCUUGACGCCUGAUGUUGCGACAACGAUGAUGGCAAUGCUUGGGGGUACUGACCGCGGCGUGGUGGGUGGUACGACUCCAAGGAAUACCAUAGGCCAUCACCCAAGCCCCGGAUCCCCAUGUCUUUAGUGAGGCCAUCCAAAGGGCAAGAUUCCCAACCCAGUUUAAGCAACUGGUCAACCUCACCAAGUACUCAAGGGAGAAGAACACUGAGCUAUGGCUUACUAAUUAUUGCCUGGCUUGCUAGCUUGGUGGUGCGGACGAUGACCUCCUCAUCAUCAACAUACUCCCCCUAUUCUUAGCCAACUCUACUAGAGCGUGGCUAGAACAUCUCCCUCAGUGAUAGAUCCACAAAUGGGGUGACCUAGUGAAGAUCUUCAUAGGGAACUUCUAGGGCACCAAUGUGCGACCCGACAACUCCUGGGACCUUAGGAGCUAUCGGUAGAAGCCUGAGGUGAGACUCUCCAAGAGUUCAUCAGGCGUUUCUCAAAGCAAUGCACUGAGCUCCCUAACAUCACCAACUCUAAUGUCAUAGGGGCAUUCGUUGCCGGCACCACGUACUAGGAGUUAGUGCAUGAGCUUGGCUGCAAGACUCCUAUGAGCACAAGCAAGCUGCUCCACAUUGCCACCAACUUUGCCUCAAGUGAAGAGGCAGAUGGGGCCAUCUUCCAUGCAACAAGGCCAAGGGGAAGCAAAAUGAUGAGGCUGUUGAGGCCUUGGCCCCCCGAGACCCUAAGAAGAAUAAGAAGGGCUAACAGGGGAGAUAGGGAUGGUAGGAAGACCCUCUUGUCGCCGCAGCAGAGUGCAAGAACACCAAGGCACUCCUAGGGGGUCUAGGAGUUUUUUAUGAGAUGUUGAAGAAGCCCUGCCUCUACCAUAGGGGCCCGACAAAGCACACCUAUACCUGCAACGGGUUCGGUUCGACCCGUUUCCGAAGCCGACCCGCACCUAGAUUUAGGCAGCAGAUCAAACUGGGUCGACCCAACGCAGAAGAGGGGCAAAAGUGUCGUGACCCCAUCGAUCCCCGGUUAUCCUUAGGUUGACCCUCCGACCUCGUAGCUGCAGCUGCUCACCGCCGCCGCCGCCGCCACCGCCCUCCAUUGUUGCCAUUGCUGCUGUCGCCACCGACCUCUCCCAUGACUCACUUCAGCACCAGUGUCAGCGACUACUCCCGUAGGUACCGCCGUCUCCUCUCCCUCCUCCUUCUAGAUCCAUUCCCGUGCCCGCGGCAAGGACCAGAUCCACUACUGGUUCUGACGCAAUUUUGUUGUUGUGGCUGCGCAGGCAAAGGUAAUCUUCUUGGGGUAGCUGUGGCACCCCAACUUGGUGAAGCUGGUGGGUUGUUGUUGCGAGGACAUGGAGCACAGUAGUUCUUCUAUGAGUACAUGGAGCACGGCAGCCUGGAGAACCACCUUUUCAGAUGUGAGUACACUACUACUACUAUACUCUAUCUCCAUCAUCAUACAUAAGAACCAUAACCAUAUGCUAUGGUAGAUUAUUUGCAUAGGCCAUAGGUGAUGUAUUGAUGUGAGACAAGGUUGACAAGUCUCGUUGAGUGUUGACCUAAACCUUGAUAAAUUGCUUGCUUAUUGAGAAUGAAGAACUCCCUGUCAUGGUUGUUGCAACGUAGUCUUCUGAAUUUCUUAAUCCUUCUCUUUAGUUUAUUCUUUUUAUAAACCUUAUCCUAGAUGCGGAGUAUAUAAACAUUUUGCACUCUUCAACUAAAAGUUAUGUCCUUUCCUGACAAACCAUUGCCAAAGACUAUUUUUGGAAACUUGUUCUGCUCCCUGUGUGAAGCCGCUUGUAAUUUUUGGUUGAUAUUGUGCUCCCUGUGCUACUAAUUUUUGGCUUGCUACUAAUUUUCAGUCAGGACCCGCUUGUACUGUGUGAAUGUUGAUGUUGUGCUCCCUUUGUGCCAUCCAUCUGGCUAUCCCCAAUAUGUCUCCUGUUAACUGAUAAGCCUCUUGCAAGCUGAUAAUAACUAGUGCUUCUGUCAAGUACUAGUUUGACAAGAAUUUGCAUUCUAUGUUUCCUGUUCCCUGAAACAAUAUAUAUAGCUUCAACACAUACACCUCUCAACAAGAAACCCCAUGUGCAGCAUCUACACAACAAAUACCUAGUGUUUGUUCAGUGAAUAAUGACCCGUGGGCAGAAUGGUAUAAAAAAGUCAGUAAUGAUCUUCAAACUCGGAGAAUCACAGAGCUUGAUAGGUAUUUGGAUGAGGACCCAAUUCGAGCUGAAGAGUUUGACAUAAUAAAUUGGUGGAUGGGUAAUGCGACAACGUAUCCGACCCUUUCGCGUAUAGCCCGAGAUUUGUUUGCUGUUCCAGCCACGUCUGUACCUUCAGAAUCAGGUUUUAGCCUGGCAAGAAGAACCAUCAAUGAUUUUGGAAGUAGCCUGUGCCCUGAGACAGUAGAAGCGCUUAUAUGUACCCAAGACUGGUAUAGGGCAGAAGGUGAAGCUCUUUUCUGUGAUAUACAUAUAGGUUCAACACAUUUUUAAUUAGUCCUCCAUCUACUGCAACUUAAACUUUGCAAAUUGGAAUAUAGGUUCCACGCAGUUUUCUACUGCAGCAGUUGAUGAUUUCGUUAUGGAAGAGAAUGAACCAUGAAAUUCACAGUUAAUAUGGUUGUAUUCUAAUCAUUUCAUUGACAACUUUGUAAAUAUUUGAAACUGAAUUUUGUAAUACUUGGUCAUUGUUAAUAUGUUGUUAAUUGAUCUGGAGCACUUUGGGUGGCUUAUUUAAUAUGUAGGCCCUAUUUAGGCCCUUUGUGAAUUUUUACAGCAAAAUUGUUAAUAUGCUGUUAAUUGACCUUGUUUCUGUCGACAGUCUGAUAGAGGAUCAUCUCUGCACUGAACCUGCCAAUGAGUACAUCCAAAGCUGUGACAUUGUAGCCUUCAACAAAAUCUGUAGGUUGUCUUGGACAUUGUUUGUGUCUAGAAUGAGGCACCCUGUUUCAUUACUUAGUUUAGCCUUUUAUGGUAGUCAUUAUUAUUAAUAGAUACAGACCAGUAGUUGACUAGUCAUUGUUAUUAUUCAGAUACAGACCAGUAGUUUACUAUGAACUGUGUUGUUUCCUGACAAUUUAUAUGGCUGUGAACUGAAUAAGCUUACACAACCAGUAGUUUAGGAGCAUAUUUGUCCUAGCUUUAGAUUCAGUUUUGGCUUGUUUGUCUGUUCUCUCAAAUUUGAACCCUUCUCCACUUAGCCAAGAACACAUUUGUUAGAGGCUUCUUUGUACUUUAGUUUCUGUUUCCAAGGGCCAGGAGCCCCAUAUCUUUGGGUUGAAUCUUUGUUUUCUCUUCUCUGGUUUGAAUGGGCCUUAAACAUUCAGUGACAGUUCCACAUAAUCUCCCUCAUGUCUUUCUAAGCUUUAAGAAGUCCAUAAGUUGAAGCUGAUUCAAGCAGCAUUAAUGCCAUUGGUAUGAGUUAUGGGACUUGGGAUCUGAAACCACAUACUCCCCCUUUUCUUUUUGGUGGAUGACUAGUUUGUCCAAAGUGGACAAUAGACAUGCCGAUAGCCAACCUUUGGAGAAAGCUGAUUGGUACUACUGUUAAAAUCUUACAGUUCCACCGCGGCAUCAGUCACCAUUUUGUUUUGCAUCUUUUUUUGUCUAAGUACUUCGCUAGGAUGUAUGCACAUCAUGAAUGUUUUCCCUUGGAUUAAGUAGUGUACUCCAAUGGACUGUUCUUAAUGCAUCUGUAUGCGCUAGACUGCUAGUGGGUUGCGUAUUUGUGUUUGUCUUGUCCAGUUCAAUCAUCGAUCUUGCCAAUCCUUAGUGGUUUAAAUAUUUCCUAGCAGUAGGCAUGGUAGUUUGUGUACUGCUUGGUUCUGGAGCUACCCAUAGCCAAUCUGUUAUUCAGUUCUGUAUGCUGCCUUAGUUCCUUUGUUACUUAUCAAUACAAUAGCAUGUACGGAGUUUAUUAGGUUGACUUACAGAUCUUUCGCUCUACUUUUGUGAAUUUACGACAAGAAUCACCACUGAUAUUUUAUCUGAACGUAGCUUUCGACUUCUGCUGGAAUAUUGAUGAGCUGAUUUUGUUGCAGAAAACUGGAUCAUGAAGGAAGAGAAGUUGAGUGGAGUACCUUAUUCUAGUUAUCAUUACUUUCUGCACCGCUCAUGAUAGCAGCAAUUAUAUGUGUUUUGCCUUUGGACUGGUUUGCUGUAAAAAUGACUGCAUUUGUUGACUGAAAGAUGAUCUAGUUAUCAUUACUUUCCCUGCACGGUUGCUGAAUUUUGGAAACUUGUUCAGCUCCCUGUGUGAAGCUGCUUGUCAUUUUUGGAAACUUGUUCAACUGAUAAGCCUCUUGCAAGCUGAUAAUAACUAGUGCUUUUGUCAAGUACUAGUUUGACAAUAAUUUACAUUCUGUGUUUGUUGUUCUUCCAAAAAGCAUGUCCUGAAAUUUACAUUCUGUGUUUGUGAUCUCCUUGCUCGCUUGAGAUGCGUUCAAUGUAUUUGAUUGGCUGGCCGAUGUUUCUUCAAUAAGAAUUUUUGAUUGCUUAACCGCCUAGCUUGCUCAAGCAUUGAAUAGCCUGGCCAGUGGAGUGGGACCAAACCUGGUGACCCGCGGGGUGAACCUGUCCAGUUGGUGAGUGGGGCGGUUGGACCCGUGAACCACGUUUGUUAGCGAUGGAGCAACGGAUCUUGAUUAGGUGCGCCCCGAACCGCACCGUUUGCAGUCUGAAGCACACCCUAGAGGAGUGCAUGGUCCUUUGGCAUUUCUACUCUCAGGCACCUCCCAAGGAGGACGCUGAGAAGAAGCAGCCCAAGGACAAAGAUGAGGACAACAAAGACGACGGGUUCCCAGAGGUCGGGAACUGCUUCCUGAUCUUUGGGGGAUGCUCGACUGGCCUCAUGACGAGCUAGUGGAAGCGUGAGUUUUGAGAGGUCUAUGCCAUCGACGUGGUAGUUCCCUCAUACCUCAAGUGGUCCAAGGAGGCCAUCACCUUUGACCACAAUGACCACUUGGAUUACAUCCCCAACCCUAGGAGCUAUCCGCUCAUCGUCGACCCUAUCAUCACCAAGGUACUGAUGGAUGGAGGUAGCGGCCUGAACAUCUUGUACACUGAGAUGUUUGACCUCAUGGGGAUCAAUGGUCUCGGCUUCAAGUUGAUGCCUUGUUGUUCCACGGCGUGGUUCCGAGGCUCCAAGCCUACCCCCUCAGAUAGAUUGACAUACCUGUCUGUUUUGGGACUCCUGACAAAUUCAAAAGGGAGACCCUCACCUUUGACGUGGUCAGGUUACGAGGAACGUACCACACAAUCCUAGGGUGGCCAUGUUAUGCUAAGUUCAUGACAGUCCCCAACUACACCUACCUCAAGCUCAAGAUGUCUAGCCCCAACAACAUCAUCAUCGUUACCACGAUGAGCUAGCAUGCUUAUUAGUGUGACAUCGAGUGCGUCGAGCAUGCUGAGGCCAUUGUCGAAUCUAGCGUCCUGGUGGCUGACUUGGAGGGGCUCACUAAGGACACUCCCGACCCCAAGCGUCACACUAGAAGCUUCAAGCCAGUGGAGGAGACCAAGCUCGUCUUGCUCAACCCUAAUGAGUCAGAGGGCAAGGCACUGAAGAUCAGCGUGAGCCUUGACCCCAAAUAGGAAGCAAUGCUCAUGGACUUCCUCUGUGCGAAUGCUAACAUGUUUGCACGGAAUCCCUUGGACAUUCCAGGCAUACUAAUGGAGGCCACCAAGCAGUCCUUGGACAUCCGAGCUGGGUCCAAGCUCAUGAAGCAACACCUAUACUGAUUCGAUGAAGAAAAGCGCCGAGCCAUCGGGGAGGAUAUCCACAAGUCGCUGGCGGCUGGAUUCAUCAAGGAGGUAUUCCAUCCAGAGUGGAUAGCUAAUCCAAUACUAGUUAAGAUGAAAAAUGGCAAAUGGGGGAUGUGUGUAGACUAAACUACCUUAAAUAAAGCAUGUCCAAAAAAUACUUUUCCAUUACCUUGUAUGGAUGAGAUAGUGGACUCUACUACGGGAUCUAAAACUUUAUCUUUCCUUGAUGCAUAUUCUGGUUACCACCAAAAAAUGAAGGAAUCCGAUCAACUCACGACCUCCUUCAUUACCCCAUUUGGCAUGAAUUGCUACAUGACCGUGCCAUUCAGCCUAAAAAACAUGGGGGCUACAUUCCAACGAUGUAUGCUCCAAGUGUUUGAAGACCUUAUAGGACAAACGGUCGAGGCCUACAUAGACAAUACCAUGGUUAAGUCUAGAAUGGCUGAUAGCCUCAUAACCGAUCUAGAUGAGACAUUCUGUUGCCUCAGAGACAAAAGCAUCAAGUUUAACCCUAAAAAGUGCAUCUUUGGGGUCCUCCAAUGCAUGCUCCUUAGGUCCAUCUUCUCUAAGCACAGCAUCGAGGCCAACCCUGAGACGAUCAAGGCCAUUGCGUACAUGGGCUCAAUAUGCAACUUGAAGGGCAUACAGAGGGUCAUGGGAUGCCAUGCGUCCCUCAGCUGCUUUAUCUCUCGUCUCAGAGAAAAUGGUUGGCCUCUAUACAUGCUCCUCAAGAAGUCUGAGCACUUUUCUUGGACUCCCGAGAACCAGGAAGACCUUGACAAGCUCAAGGCCUUACUCACCAAUGCCCCUAUUCUGGUGCCACUAGUCGAGGGAGAGUAUCUCCUCUUAUAUGUUGCAGCGACUGAUUAGGUCACUAGCGCAGCAGUUGUGGUUGAAUGAAGGGAAGAAGGGCACGCUCUGCUAGUUUAGAGACUAGUAUACUUCAUCGGUGAAGUACUUUCUAUGACCAAAGCUCACUACCAAUAGAUCUAAAAGCUAUUGUACAUAGUAGUCUUGGCUUAACGCAAGCUUCCACUACUUCAAGUCUCAUUCGGUUACUGUGGUCUCAUCCUUCCCAAUGGGGGAGGUGAUCCAAAACUGAGGGGCCAACGAUUGGCUAGCCAAGUGGUCUAUGGAACUCAUGGGUGACAACAUCACCUAUGAGCCCCGGAAGGCUAUAAAAUCCCAAAUCCUCACUGAGUUUGUGGCUGAGUGGACUAGGAUCCAACUCUUCCACCUCAGAUUUAGGCUGAAUGUUGGACCAUGUACUCUGACGGGUCUCUAAUGGAAACAGGGGCCGAUGCAGGCCUCAUCUUCAUUUCCCCCCUCGAAGUACGGAUGCGCUACAUGAUCUGAAUAUACUUCCUUGCUUCAAAUAACAUGGCAGAGUAUGAGGCACUCAUCAAUGGGCUCCAUAUCACCGUCAAGCUUGGCAUCAAGAAUCUUGAUGUCUGGGGCGACUCACGACUCAUAAUUGAUCAGGUAAUGAAGGAGUCAAAUUGCCAUGAUCACAAAAUGGAAGCAUACUAAAAAGUAGUACAAUGCUUAGAGGAGAAGUUUGAUGGCCUCGAGAUCAACCGUGUACUGAGAAAGUACAAUGAGGCUACCGACGAGCUAGCGGAAAUGGUGUUCGAGUGGGCCAUGAUCCCCUUGGAUGUUUUCUCCAAUGACCUCUAUGGACCUUCUAUCGACUAUAACAAAAAUAAGGAAGGUGGCGUUGCCUUGGAUGAGUGUUGACGGUCCUUAAUGCUCACAUUUAACCGUCAACUAAUCGUGGAAAAGGACUUAUAUGCAACCAACACCUAGACUUAGGGUUUCAUCUGACAAAAUUCCACGAGUUUUGGUGUUUGUCUAUUUCUGCAGGGGGGUAUUAGGAAAUAUGGAGGAAAGGCCUACAUGUUAGGAUUACAUAGAGAUAUCAACAUGCCGCACAAUUGUCUACCAUCUAGAAGACUCCAGAAGCCACGAGAAUGAACGAGAAGGCGAUCGGGCUCGGAGGCAGGGCGCCCGCCCUAUUAUCCUAGGCGCCCGCCCUGCUACAGUGCCCAAUCAGAGUCCUUUUCACGGAUCGUGCUCCACCGACCUAAGGGAUCAAGGAAAACCAUGCGAUUAAUGUCGGUUUGAUCCAACGGCCCAGAUUCAUCUGAAAAGACUAUAUAAGCAAGGCCUCCUGGCCCCUGGAGAUCAUACCUCUUCUACAGAAUCAAAGUUAGGGUUUCAAUUCUUCAUCCAAGUAGAGAGGAUCCCUCUAGUUCUUCUAGUUCUACCUCUAGUUCAUCUAGUUCUAGUUCUAGUUCAUCUAGUUCUAGUUCUAGUUCUUCUAGUUCUAGUUCUAGUUAGUUCUAGUUGUAAUCUAGAAAAUAGGGAGAGAGAAGAGGACUGCGGAGGAGGAGCCGGAUCUGUCGGAUCUUCCUCAACAUUGUACUUUUGCAGCAAUUGGUUCGUUCUUCAACGUUCUCCAGGUUCUUCAAUUCACAAUUCCUGAGUUCUUUAAUUACUUUUAUUUACACUCAAGUUAUUUAUUGGAUUCCCGCUUACAUCGAGUGCUCUAAUCUUUGCAACAUUAUAGUAGUAAUUAAUAGAUUAGACGUGGUGUUUAGUCUUGCAAUUACCUGGAAUUGCACCCAAUCCUGUGGAUUGUUGUGGUAGCCCUAGGGUAGUGACAGCCCUAACGGUCGACGUAUUCCACCUCGUUCAGAUCGGUGUUUGUAGGACCGUAGUCAGAGCUUCCUAGCCCCCUUCUCAUCUCUUUCUGUGGUUAGUGUUCUGAUGUCCUGAAAUAAAUAAUAUUUGAAGUAAUUCUUGAUUCUUUGAUCAACUAGAGAACUCUCAGGAAACUUCCUCUCUUCCCACCAAAAAUAAUUAUAUAGUUAUCCUUGUGCGAUCUUGAAUCUUAAUUAGUACACUCAUGUUCCCUGUGGAAAAUCGAUACUCUGGAAUACUCUCGGGUGAAAGCUACAUCGGUAUCCGUGCGCUUGCGGAUUUUUCUAUUUGCGUUUAAAAUACACAACAAGCUUUCUAGCGCCGUUGCCGGGGAAUGGUAGUUGUGCUAGUUUCGAACCAAGUCGUCCGUGUAUCUUUUCCUUUCUUUUACCACACUCACCUUACCAUUUUCACCACACCACAUGGAUUUCACUCCUAUCUAUAAAUUCUUUGCUCCAAAGGGCGAGUUAUUAGAGCCACCACCAUCAUCACAUCCAAUUCUUACAGAUGGCUAUGACCUCAGCCCUGAUCUAAUAGCCAUGAGUCAGGAGCAACCCUUCUCUGGGGAAGUAGAUGAAGAUCCAUACACUCACCUUAGAGAAUUUGAGCAGUUGUGCUCUUGCCGAUCUAUUUCUGGCAUGACACAAGAAACCCUUAAAUGGAAAUUAUUUCCGUUCUCCCUUUUGGGAAGAGCAAAAAAGUGGUAUGCUCAUUCUGUAGGAGGCGUCAAUGGAGAUAGGGACGAACUUCGGGACAACUUUUGUCUCCCUUUCUUCCCACUUUUUCGAAUCGCUGACCUUAGAAUCGAAAUUCUUACAUUCAAACAAAGAGAGAAGGAAACUUUAGGAGCAGCUUGGGCUAGGUUCACAAGCCUUACCAAUUCCAGUCCAAACCUUUCUCUGCCUAACCAUGUACUGUACUACCACUUCUAUCGUGGUCUAAAUAAGGAAGCUGCUCUUCACCUCGACAUUGCUUCAGGAGGCUCAUACACACAGAAACUCACAGAUGAGGGGAGAGCUAUCCUAUAAAGAAUCCUUGAAAAUACCCCUUACACAAGCAUUUAUGAUGAGUUUCCUGAAGAAGAAGAAGAAGUCGAGCCUGAUUCUAAACCAAAAGAAGAGGAACUUGCAACCGAGUUAGAAAUUCCACCUGACCCAUCUAUUAAUUUGGUUGUAGAGAGACCUCCUGAUAAGGGAAUGCAAAACCAACUAAGGGAUGAUGAACCGCCACCUUUAGAUCAUCCCUUUGAAUUUGAGGAAGAUCUUUUUGAAGAUUAUGGAAACACCUUGAAUUUUCCUAUCCAAACAUGACCUCUAGCAGGGACCACUCAAUCCGUUCUAAGAGUAGAAUCUGUUGACAUAGAAGACAUCAAAAGCCUUUCGGCUAUUCUGAGUUAUGAAUGGCUAACAAAAGCAGAGCUGUCUCUCGAGGUAGCUCCAAUCAUCACUCCUUCAACCAUUCUUCUGUGCCAAAUUAGAGGGUCCCCUAGGAAGGUCCACUACAAUCCAUAUGUUGGGAUAAAUGUUAUUUCCAAGGAGUUAGCUGACACUAUUUAUCCCAACGAGUCCAUAACCCCAUCUCAAAAACUUUUACAAAGUCCAUCUAGAUUAAUUCUAGAAAGCCAUGGGGUAUUAAGGGCAGUUCCUGUUAGAAUCAAGGACUCUGGAAUAUGUCUAGAUUUUCACAUUUUUGACAUACCAGAGAUUCCUCUCUUGGUUGUCAGACCAAUCUUAAACUUCUACAAGAACAACCACAACGAGGUCAUUUAGACUUCAAGGUUGGGAAUUCCACUAUUGUUGUUCCUCUUGCUAGAUCAAUUAACACGAUAGUGGAACCCAAACUUAAACCAGAUCCUAUCGAGAAGAUCUUAAUGCUAACUCAAGAAGAGUUGGCCCAACCAUUCUUUGAUCAUGAACACUUUGUUCAAGAAGAAGAAGAGUUGGUAGAACCCGUUGAGCUAGACAAAAAUGAACAACCUUCACCUCCUUCGAUAGAAUUAAAACCUCUUCCUUCUGGCCUUAGAUAUGUCUUGUUGCACAACAACCCAAACACUCCAGUAAUUAUCAGUGACAAGCUUUUCGGUUAUGAAACACAACAACUUGUCACUGUUCCUGAAAGGCAUAGAUCAGCAUUUGGCUACUCUCUCGAAGAUCUCAUGGGCAUUAGUCCCAUUCUCUGCACUCAUCGUAUCCCUAUUGAUCCCAAUUUCUACACCUUCAAGGUAACCACAAUGGAGACUUAACAAUGCUAUGCGAGAGGUUGUUAAGAAAGAGGUCCUCAAACUCUAUCGUGCUAGGAUUAUUUAUCCUAUACCACAUAGUGAGUGGGUUAGCCCUGUCCAAGUAGUGCCAAAGAAAGGAGGAAUGACGGUCGUUAGGAAUGAGAAGAAUGAACUCAUCCCUCAACGAAUUGUCACUGGGUGGCGUAUGUGUAUUGACUAUCGAAAACUCAACAAGGCUACAAAGAAAGAUCACUUUCUGUUACCCUUUAUUGAUGAAAUGUUGGAACGGCUUGCAAACCACUCUUUCUUUUGUUUUCUUGAUGGUUAUUCUGGAUAUCACCAAAUCCCAAUCCACCCAGAUGACCAAGAAAAGACUACCUUUACAUGCCCGUUUGGAACUUAUGCAUACCGACGAAUGUCGUUCGGAUUGUGCAAUGCUCCAGCUUCUUUCCAGCGGUGCAUGAUGUCUAUUUUCUCGGACAUGAUUGAGAAGAUCAUGGAGGUUUUCAUGGAUGACUUUACCGUCUAUGGCAAAACCUUCGAUCAUUGUUUAAAGAAUUUAGAUAGAGUCUUACAGCGAUGUGAAGAAAAGCACUUAAUCCUGAACUGGGAGAAAAGCACUUAAUCUUGCUACUAUCUAGAUCUACUCUAGUUUAGAGAAGAAAGCUCUCAUCUCUAAACUAGAGUAGAUCUAGAUAGUAGCAAGCUGGAGAGCAAAGGAGGAUUAGAGGAGAGGCCGGCCUGUCGGUUCUUCCUCCGGUUGUACUUCGUCAUGAUCAAGCUCUAAUCAAGCUUGCUCAUGGGAUGACUCUGGUAAUCUACUUCUAAUUCAUUAUGCAAUUACUAAUUAUGUAUGUUCUGGUUCACAACUCUUUUGAGUACUUUAAUCUAUAGGACGCUAUAGGUGAGAGUUGUAGUAUAGGUGUAAGCGUGGUGCUUAGACCUAGAUUACUUGUGGAUAUCCCCUGUCUAGCUGGAUCGUGUGGUAGGCCGCGUAGGUGACAGUUACGUUGGUCCUCUGUAGUCCACCUCUCGUUAGUAGGACAGGUAGGGUUUAUCGGCCUAAGGAUAAGCAUCCAUUGUGGUGUACUCUUAUCACGUGGUUCGUCCCAGACAUAGACAUACCCCUUUGAAGUAGAGAAACCAUAGUUAUCCUCUCUAUUCUGCUACCAUCACCCAUAUACUAGAAUUGCUCUAUUCUCUAUUCCCAUAUUAUCACUCACUGUUAUCUUACCUUUAAUAUUGUUCUUAUUCGAUUCUACCAUCUUUCCUAUUUACACUUAUUUACUUAUCUUGGUUAAGUUAGAGCUUAGAUCAGUUCUCCCGUUUCCAUGUGGAUACGAUAAAACCUUUAACCGGGUAAAAGCUAUAACGGUAUCCGUGUGCUUGCGGAUUAUCUGUGUGCGUAUAAAUACCAUAGUACACUCUAGUGCCAUGCUGGGGAUGACAACCUAGUAUUCAAGUGGUGUUAGCAAGUGUCAACAAGCAUUUUUGGCGCCGUUGCCGGGGAAACGGUUGCUGAGUUGACUACGAACUAGCUUAAUCAUUUUUCUAAAAAAUAAUAAAAAAAAUAUUUUCCUUUCAUCCUUUGCCUCAUCUCUGCUAAUCUUUCUUCUUAUCUAAUCCUUGAUCUCUGGUCUAUCAUGAAUUCAAACAUGUCUAUCUAUGAAUUUCAUAGACCUACGGGCACACAUCUCGAACCACCAAAAUCUUUAAAGCCUAUCAUAGCAUCUAGUUUUGAGAUAGACCCCGAAUACAUAGAAUUUGUUCAAAAACAACCUUUCUUAGGAGAAAGUGAGGAAAACCCAUACACCCACCUAAGAGAGUUUUAUCGAGUCUGUGACCUCCUUCGCAUAGAAGGCAUGUCCGAUGAGACCCUUAAAUGGAAGCUCUUUCCAUUCUCUUUAAUAGGAAAAGCUAGACAUUGGUAUAAACUCAAAGUAGGGAGUGUUCUUGGAGAUUGGAAAGAGUUACAUAAUAGUUUUCUUUUAAAAUAUUUUCCAAUCUCCAAAGUGGCAGAACUUCGGCGUGAGGUUAUUUCUUUUAGACAACUGGAAGAAGAAUCUCUUGGCAAAUCAUGGGACCGCUUUAUUAACCUUACUCUCACUGGCCCAAAGCUUUCUAUUCCAGAAGAAGUUCUUCUAAUUCACUUUUUUUGAGGGCCUUAGUGGGAAAAAUAAGCAAACCUUGAAUAUAGCCUCUACAGGAUCCUUCUAUCACCUACCUGCUAGCAAAGCUAGGGAUUUAAUUGAUUCAUUAAAUGGAAAGUCUCCUAGCUUUUAUAUCCCUAAGAAAGAGACAGAACCAGUUCCUAGAUAAGAAGAAGAAGUUUCGAAAGCCAGAUCACAACCACUUCAAUUCCAAACUUUAGCUAUCGAUCCUAAACCAUCAAUACCCCAAAAUUCUCCAAGGGAGGAAGGAAUUCCGACCUUAAAUCUUUGAGAUGCUGAUGGUUUAGACUUCUGGUUCCAUAAGAGACCUUCAAGCAGGGAUAAUUCAAAUCCUCGCAGUAAUGGUUCUGUUAGAGAAUGUCCUGGUUCCUGUUAUGAAGAAGUCGAGGAUGACACAUCAAGUAAAGGAGAGCUAAGCCACAUUGAAAAUUCUAACACCUCCCCUUUCUUGAUCACAAGUUCUAAAUGGCUAGAAUGUGUAGAAUGGAUGGAUAAGGAAGAAGCCUUAAUGAAUUCUGACUUUGGCUCAAUUUCAAAUGGUGAGUUCUUGACUCCCUUUGAAGAUGGGAUUCAUCCAACUAUAGAGCUUUUGCUUUGUCUAUGAAUAAUGAAUAAUGAUCAAGGGGUGCCUCCUCCAGGGGCCAGGGGGUCUGGUUAUAUAGUCCCCUCAAGUGAACCUAGGCCGUCGGAUCAAACCGACAUUGAUUGAACGGUUAUUCUUGAUCCUUUAGGUUGGUGGAGAUCUCCCGAGAGAAAGAGUCCUGAUUGGGCUCCAAGUCAGGGCGGGCGCCCUGCCUCUGGCCCCGUUCGGCCUCCGCUUCCUUCCCGUGGCUUCUAGAGUAUUCUAGAUGUAAGAUAAUUGCACGGCACGUUAAUAUCUCUAUGUAAUCCCGAUGUGUGGGCCUUUCUUCCGUAUUUCCUGAUAACCCCCUGCAGAAAUAGACAAACACCAAAACUCGUGGAAUUUUGUCAGAUAAAACCCUAAGUCUAGAUGUUGAUUUCUUUUGGAUCCUUUUCUUUGUUUAUUUGAUAAUUAAAUUUGAUACUUAAGGACCAUCAACAAUGAGCUUCCCAUAAAUGACUACCUAAGGGAUGACACCCUGCUUAAGAUAACACAUGCAGAUCCAUGGUACGCAGACAUCGUAAACUUUAUAGUAAAAGGCUAUGUCCCACCUGGUGCAAACAAAAGGAAGUUGCUUCACGAUAGUCGUUUCCACCUUUGGGAUGAGCCAUAUCUUUUCCGAGUCUGCGCUGAUGGACUUUUGAGAAGGUAUGUUCCUAUGGCUGAGGCUACUCAAAUUAUGGAAAGAUGCCAUGCCUCGCCAUAUGGAGGACACUAUGGAGCAUUCGGGACACAUGCUAAAAUUUGGCAAAGUGGCUUUUUUCUGGCCAACGAUGUAUGAAGAUACAAAAGACUUUGUCAGGAGAUGCCACCGAUGUCAAAAACAUGGGAAUAUCAAUUCACGAAAUGAAAUGCCUCUCAAAUAAUCUUCAAGCAGAACUUUUCGAUGUAUGGGGCAUUGAUUUCAUGGGGCCAUUCCCUAUGUCCGGGAAUUGUGAGUAUAUCUUAGUAGCUGUGGACUAUGUGUCUAAAUGGGUAGAAGCCCUACCUUGUCGAUCAGCUGAUUCAAAACAUGCCAAGAGAAUGUUCCAUGAAGUAAUCUUUCCUCGCUUUGGUAUACCUCGGAUAGUUAUAAGCGAUGUAGGUUCCCACUUCAUUGACAAAAUCUUCCGGAAGUACCUAGCCGAUCAUGGAGUUUGACACAACGUCGCAACACCAUACCAUCCUCAGACUAGCGGUCAAGCCGAAACAUCUAACAAACAAAUCAAAAAUAUUUUACAAAAGACCGUAGAUGAGAUGGGUAAGUGGUGGAAGGACAAACUUCCUGAUGCACUUUGGGCAUAUAGAACUGCAUUCAAAACACCCAUAGGCAUGUCGCCUUAUCAACUUGUAUAUGGAAAAACUUGUCAUUUGCCUGUGGAGGUAGAGUUUAAGGCUCAUUGGGCACUCAAGAAAUGGAACAUGGAUCUCCACCUAGCUAGCGAGAAUCGUCUGAUGCAACUAUCUGAGCUAGAAGAAUGGAGAGAGAAAGCCUACCACAAUUCAAGGAUCUAUAAAGAGAGAACGAAACGAUGGCAUGAUAAGAGAAUCAAGCACAAGGAGUUUAAGCAAGGAGAUAAGGUUCUACUAUUCAAUUCAAGAGUUAAGCUCUUUGGGCAUGGUAAGCUACGAAGUAAGUGGGAUAGACCAUAUAAGGUUAUUGACACUUCAACUCAUGGAGCCAUUACCAUCCAAGAUGACAUAGGUAACACUUUUAAGGUAAAUGGUCAACGCUUAAAAUCUAUCUCGAGCCACAAAACAACGUGGUAGAGGAACUUGAUGUGAUUGAGUUCAUAGAAUUCUUAUAUUAAGCUCUCAUAAGCUCUAGACAAUUAUCUAACCAUUAACAUGUUCCACAAGUUUUGUUGUUUAUUUGGGUUAUGCAAGAUUUUGAGGCUUAAGAAGAGUGAGACCAACCAUUGAGGCCACAAGAGUGAACGACUAUGUCAACAUCCAGCUUGGGGGAGGCACUCCCACAUGUAUCUAGAUAAGUAUUACUUUUCUUUCUUGGUUUUAUUUACUAGUAUUCAGAAAUAAAAAAAUGCAUAACCAUGAAACCAAAUAGAGUUUUUCUUUUAAGUAAUAUACAAUAGUUUUGUGUAAUCCUAAGUUUUAAAUAAAGUUUGAUCCAAGUCUAGGUAAUUGACAAACAUGAUAUGAGAAGGUCUGAGCUACUAUUUAGCUUGUUCCAAGUUUUGCUAAGAGUUCUGGAGAUUUUAUCUUUUGAAAAUCUAAAGAAAAUUGAGAUCCUGUUUGACAUAAUACCUAGAGUCAUAUAAGAUAUAAAUAUUAAAAUUGUGACCACUUGUUUUGUUCAAGAUAUUGUUAAUUCUUGUAGUUUUGGUUGAGAGAAUUAUCAUGCUCCAAAGAUCAAGAUCUUUUUGUUUUAAAAUAUAAAAGAUUCACUCUUCCGAAGUAUUAUUGCAUUAGAGGCAUGGGACUAUGCAAAAAUUUGAUUCGAAAAAAAAGAGAGUGAGACGGGAGGUAAAAAUAGACAAGUGUCCGAAGUAGAAUUAGGGGUACAAAGAUACCCACCUGAGUGGAAAAAAUGGACACAUGUCCGAUAGUAGAAUUAGGGGUACUUGGUGCCCACUUGAGAAAAAAAGAAAAAAAAGAGAGAGACUGAAAAAGAAAGAAAAAAAAUGGUAGCCCAUGGUCCCUCUAAUAAGCAAUAUGCCAGUAAGAGAUGACAACCUUUUCAAAAAGGUCAAAGGCCUUGAUCUAGGAGUAUGACAUCCCUCUCCCUUGCUCCGAGCAUUGACAUAGUAAAAUGCAAAGUAAGUAUGCUAAAACUUUUAAAGCUCUACUUAUAUAUCUUUCGAGAAGAUGGCAGAUGCCUCAGUUUUAUUUUGGUAACAUACAGAAAAACUCCAGAACAAAGGUAAGACAAAAGAACUUGAGACAUAGUGCUUGACUUGAUCGUUCUGUUUUUCAAUCACUUAAGACCUUAGUGAUAACUUAAAAACCCUGUAGGAAGAGGCAUAAAAGUAACCCCUGUUUUUUUGCUGAUUUUAGCUUUGCUCAGGGACGAGCAAAGGUUAAGCUUGGGGGAGCUUGUUGACGGUCCUUAAUGCUCAUAUUUAACCGUCAACUAAUCGUGGAAAAGGACUUAUAUGCAACCAACACCUAGACUUAGGGUUUCAUCUGACAGAAUUCCACGAGUUUUGGUGUUUGUCUAUUUCUGCAGGGGGUUGUCAGGAAAUAAGGAGGAAAGGCCUACUUGUCAGGAUUACAUAGAGAUAUUAACGUGCCGCGCAAUUUUCUACCAUCUAGAAGACUCCAGAAGCCACGAGAACAAACGGGAAGGCGAUCGGGCUCGGAGGCAGGGCGCCCGCCCUACUCUCCUGGGCGCCCGCCCUGCUACAGUGCCCAAUCAGAGUCCUUUUCGCGGAUAGUGCUCCACCUACCUAAGGGAUCAAGGAAAACUGUGCGAUUAAUGUCGGUUUGAUCCGACGGCCCAGAUUCAUCUGAAAAGACUAUAUAAGCAAGGCCUCCUGGCCCCUGGAGAUCAUACCUCUUCUACAGAAUCAAAGUUAUGGUUUCAAUUCUUCAUCCAAGUAGAGAGGAUCCCUCUAGUUCUUCUAGUUAUACCUCUAGUUCAUCUAGUUCUAGUUCUAGUUCAUCUAGUUCGAGUUCUAGUUCUUCUAGUUCUAGUUCUAGUUAGUUCUAGUU